UUCUUUUUUAAAGCUGAUCAAGGUAAAAGAGAAUUUCUUAUUUAUUGUUUAUCACAUAAUAUUUUAAUAAUGAUAUGAUACGUGAUACCAUCGUAGCCAACAAAAUAAUUUGUGUUUGAACGUGAAUAAUUUAUUUGAAAAAAUUCUUCCUAGACAAAUGCUGCCUCAAGAUUUAAUCAUGUACAUAUAAUAUUUUUAAAUGUGAAAUUUGGAUUUGCUUUUGAAUCACAAUUUCAUGUGCACAUUGCACUUGAUUAUAUUGAAAGUUUUUGACGUCAUCCUUUGUUCAAUAUGAAUUGCCAUGAUGACAGGAACAUUGUAUUGAAAACCCCCCAACUAAUUUAGCAAGCUCAUGGUUCUGUACUUCAACUUGAAUUAAGCCCAUCCCACUCAAUUUGACUUUCUUUGGAUAGUAGCUUUAUUUGUUAAUUAAUUAAGAAUUAAGCUUCAUUCACUUAAAGUCUGAGUAGGAGUUAUAGCCCCAUGAGAUUUGUCAACCCAACCAUUAUACAAAUUUAGCAUACUUGGGUCAUUGAAAUGCACCAAUUCAAAGCCGCGUACUUCUAGAUAAAAUCUAUUCUUAGGGCAAGAAUUUAUUAAUGGUCCCUAGCCAUUCACCCAGUAUCCAUGCAUUAUAAAUUGCUAUCUUCCAAAUGUUACCAUGGCCUCACAUGCAAUCUUUGACACUUUGACAUGUAUUAUUGUGCAUGCGUUUCAUGCGAUUUCGCUUUUUGUUUAACAUCCAAAUAACUUAUAUGCAUCAAAAGUUGGAUAUAAGAUAUUCGAUAUUUCAAAAUUAGAACAUCAAGAUAUUUCAUAUAUCUGUUGUGGAACAUCAAAAGUUAAGCAUCAAGACAUUUCAUAUGUUAGUUUGGAGCAUCGAGAUAUCUCUUUGUAUAGAAGCUCCAUAUACUAUUUGUUUAUGGUUGAUUUAGUUUUUCUUUUAUAAUUUGAUUGUUUUUAAGCUUUAUUUUUCGAAAUGUGUAUAUUCAAUAUUUUGACCAAUAUUUUCUUUAGCUCCAGAGGUGAAUGUAGGAGGGAUGGUAGGGGCCUAGUCCCCUUAAAAUAGAAAAUUAUUGUUUUAGCUCUUUAGAAAAUUUUAAAAUUUUCAAAAUAGUAAAUGUAAACUUGCAUUUUGGCCAUCUCUAAAAUUAUUAAAAUUUAAUUUAAUCUUUUAAAAAUUAUAAAGAUAAUAAACUAUUAAAAAUUAAAAUUUCAUUUCGACCCAAAUUUUUUUUUUUUUUGACUUCCCUCAUGUUUAGUUCCAUUAAAAAUUUAAUGUGACUUACCUUUUAAACCGCAUGAUGGUAUAACAUAUAUAUAUAUACCUUAUACUUUUUUGCACAUUGGGACACUACAAAAUAGGGGGGGGGGGCGGGAGAGAGGGGGUAGAAUAUUUGUCAAACUAAACGGAAAUAUCAAUAUGUAUAUAUGCCUCACUACAAGCAAGGGUGAAUUUGUAAAUUUUCAUUUAAACCUUUUGAGGUUUCUUAAAAUUUUAUUUAAGGGUAAAUUUUAAGAAUAGCCACCCAACUGUUCAGUUCAUUCUAUUUUCGUCAUCUCACUAUUAAAUUUUUUCGUUUGUCACUUAAUUUUUCAAAAUUAGAUUUUUUAGUUACUCUUUCGUUAGAUGCUUAAUGAAAGUCUAACAUGGGUUUUAUUUUAUUGGCCUAAUAAAAAAUUUAGCCCUACAGUAUUUACAAGAUUUGUCAUUUUAAUCCUAAUUAUAAAAAUUUUAAAAAAGUAAAAAAGGUAGAUAUAAAUUUUUAAUAUUUCAAAAACAAAAUAUAACAAUUUUUUAACAAAAUUUGUACCCACUUUGUUCUUUCUUUCAUUCAAUUGACGAAGUUGAAAAUAUCAAGUGUCAUGUCCUUAAAUGCUAUUUUUGUAGCAAAGAGUAAGGAAGUUGGUGUCAUUAAUCCAAACNNNNNNNNNNNNNNNNNNNNNNNNNNNNNNNNNNNNNNNNNNNNNNNNNNNNNNNNNNNNNNNNNNNNNNNNNNNNNNNNNNNNNNNNNNNNNNNNNNNNNNNNNNNNNNNNNNNNNNNNNNNNNNNNNNNNNNNNNNNNNNNNNNNNNNNNNNNNNNNNNNNNNNNNNNNNNNNNNNNNNNNNNNNNNNNNNNNNNNNNNNNNNNNNNNNNNNNNNNNNNNNNNNNNNNNNNNNNNNNNNNNNNNNNNNNNNNNNNNNNNNNNNNNNNNNNNNNNNNNNNNNNNNNNNNNNNNNNNNNNNNNNNNNNNNNNNNNNNNNNNNNNNNNNNNNNNNNNNNNNNNNNNNNNNNNNNNNNNNNNNNNNNNNNNNNNNNNNNNNNNNNNNNNNNNNNNNNNNNNNNNNNNNNNNNNNNNNNNNNNNNNNNNNNNNNNNNNNNNNNNNNNNNNNNNNNNNNNNNNNNNNNNNNNNNNNNNNNNNNNNNNNNNNNNNNNNNNNNNNNNNNNNNNNNNNNNNNNNNNNNNNNNNNNNNNNNNNNNNNNNNNNNNNNNNNUAAUUUCUAAAAAUAUGAUAAUUUGUGUCUAGCUUCCCAUUAUAAGAAUUCAACCCCAACCCGAGUAUAAACAAGUACUAUUUUUAUUAAAGACUUUUGUAGUUGAAGAACAUGGCUUCCUUUCCCUAAAUUUAUGGGGUAAUCUAGUAUAAAUAUGCAGCUUAAAUUAAACACCCUCUCCACCUUUCCUUGGCUUAUACUCUUUUGUGCAAAUAUUCCCUUCCAUUUGAUAAACAAUGGCUUCUAACACUCUCAACCUCAUUGCCAUCCUCUCUCUUACUAUCUCCAUCCUCUUAUCUUUGUAUCCUCAACCAGCCUUCUCAUUCCAAAUGGAAGAUUUCGACAGUGAGGAAGAAUAUGUGCUCGAUCAUCCUGUCAUUAUCCCUAACCUUCGAUCGAGAAGCCGGUUCUUAAAGACCUCGCCGACAAAAGAUAAGAUCAGGAAAGGUGCCGAUUGUGAUCCUCACCCUUCUCUAAACAUAUGCAAGGGUAUUUCCGCAAACAACGGGACCAGUCUACUGUAUUGCUGUAAGACGCAUUGUCGUAACGUGCUUAGUGAUCGAAACAACUGUGGAAAAUGUGGCAACCGGUGUGAGUUCGGGCAACGUUGCUGCGGUGGAGUUUGUACUAAUGUUGCUAACAACGUCAACCACUGUGGCAAGUGUGGCAAUCAGUGCUCGUCUGGAGUUCAGUGUGAUAAUGGAUUUUGUGGUUAUGCUUAGGUCUAAGUAUGAUAAUGGUUUUUAUCAAAAUAAAUUUGCCAAUCGAAAAUGCUUUGUCUAGGGGCCGUUUUGAUUAUGAAUAACACUUCGUUAUCUACAUGUAUUGUUGUAUAAUGGGGGGAGAAUAUACACAUAUUUUAUGGUGCUGUAAUUGAUUUUAGUCAUGGUUUUUACAUAUGUUAUACGAUAUUUUCUUUUAAAUUUUAAGUAGACAUAUCCUCUAUUUAUUUGUUAAAGUUGUUGUUGUGAUAAUUUAAAAUUAUAAAAAAUACUCACUUAACGUAAAUGACAUUAUUAUUUUUAGUAAAUAUUAGUUUUCUCAUUUCCGGUAAAUUUAUAAUAAUUUAUAUCAAUUAAAUUAAAUUAAAAAUAAUUUUUUAUAAAAAUAUCAAUAGGACAUAUGGUAAAAUCUUAGUCUUGCUUUUGGAGUUAAAAUUUUCCACCUAUGUUUCAAAUAAUUACCCUUUUUAAAUAAAAUGACGAACAAUCAUAUUAGGCAUAUAUUGUUUUAGGUCAGAUUAUGAUUAUGGUCUCUCUACUAUGUUUAAAUUUAAAAUUUAGUAUCUAUUCUUUGAGUUGAUAAAAUUUGGUUCCACUACAUAAUAUCCUUAGUUGGUUGAAAAUUUGAAAUAAUUGACACCUUUAAUUUUUCUGGUCAAAAUGUUGAGGACAAUUUUUUUUCUUAAAAAUUCCUAUUUCAACUUCAUGUAAAUAAUUGAACAAAACUCCAUGUAAAUUUGAGAGGUGCUUUUAAGAGAAAUUCAUGUAAUCGUUUUAACUGAUAUAGCUAGGGAUGUUAAUUACUUGGGUAACUAAUGCCAUUAUAAAAGUAGAUGAUCGAAUUAUGUCAAAUGAAAAUAUAAAGACUAAAUCUCAAAAGUGAGCAUAAUAGAGAGACCGGAACUACAAUUUUAUCAUUAUCUUAUAAUGACUAAAAAAACAGCCAUGUCAUUAGUUAGUCCAAAUAAUUAUCACCCUUAGUAGCUUAUGUGAAUUUUUGUAACAACACUUAAUCCAAUUUAUUAUGCUAAAUUUUUUUAAUAGAAUAAUAAUUAAAAAUAGAUUAAAAAAAGUUAAUCUUAAUUAUUUUGGACUAUCUAAUGUUAUUGUAAAAGUAGAGAAUCAAAUUAUGUCAAAUUAAAAUAUAAAGAUUAAAUCUUAAAUGUGAGCAUAACAGAGGACCAAAAUUAAAAAUUUACCAUUACAAUUAUAAUGAAAAAAAUAAAGAUAAAUGGACCCCACCUUUUAUAUAGAAUUAUAUAGAUAGGUAUAUAGAUUGAGCAUAUUUUGAGUCUUUGAAAUGAAAUGCACCAAGUCAUGGCAGGUACAUGUAUUUCGUGCGCCUCGUAUUAGCAACACACGGUAUCCAUGAAAGUCGUCGUCUUAUUGGGCGUACGAAAAUCAUAAGAAUGAACCAGAAAUGUUACCAAGCAUUAUGCAUUAUAAAUUGCUCUGUUCUUCUUCUUCUUCUUCCAAAUGGUUGUAACAGCCCGAUUUUGACCCUAAUUGAAAAGGUGGUUUCGGGACCACGAAUUCGAGUUGGAAAAAUAUUUUAAAAAUAUUUUUUUAUUAUGUGUGAACUUACUUGUGUGAAAAUUUCGUGCUUUAAUUUCGUCGUUUGAGUGUCCGAUUAAAUAAAAGGACUAAAUCGCGUAAAAUAAAAAUUUAGUGGUUAUUUUUAGAAUGGCCAAAUAGUGGUUGUUCUUUUAAUAUGAAGGUUUCAUGUUGCAAUUUUGCCAUUUGAAUUAAUGAAUGGACGUCACUAUGUAUAUAUUAUAUAGUUUUUAUAAUAUUUAUAAAGGUUAUAAUAAUAAAUAAUAUAUUAUAAAGUUAUUAUAAUAAAAACAAACAAAAGUUAAAAAGCCAUUAUCAUCUUUUUUGUUUCUACCAACCGAAUGUAAAAGAAAAGAAAAAGAAAAGAACAAGCUAAGGGUUCGGCCAUUUUUGAGUUUGAUUAAGGUACGUAACUAGCUCGGUUUUUGAUAAUUUUUAUGUUUUUGAGAUCGUCGCUUUGUGUUUUAGCUAGCCCAUGCUUGAAUUUUUGAAUUGAUUGUGUAUUUUGUGAUAUGCCAUUGAAGAGAGAUUGUUGUUUUUGUUGUUAGAUGAUGGAAAAUAAAUAUAUGUUGUUAGAUUUUUCAUGUUUUAAUNNNNNNNNNNNNNNNNNNNNNNNNNNNNNNNNNNNNNNNNNNNNNNNNNNNNNNNNNNNNNNNNNNNNNNNNNNNNNNNNNNNNNNNNNNNNNNNNNNNNUAUUAAGGACUAAAUUAAGAAAAUAUUAAAUUGAGGGACUAAAAUGUGAAAUAAAUGACAUGCAAGGACCCAUAUGAGACAAGGGAGUAUUCGGCCAUACUAUAGUGUUAUUAAUUUGGAAUAUUUUGUGUUUUUGUACAAUUUGGACUAAAUUGUACAAAGUGUGAAAUGUAGGGGUAAAAUUGUAAUUUGCCCAUUUAUGUAUUUUUAGGAUAAAUUGAAUAGAAUGGUGUUUAAAUAAGCUUAAUUUGAAUAUGUUUAGAUCAAGAAUUAAAGAAAUCAGAUUUGGAUCGGGGAAAGACAAAAGUGGUCGAGUAGCCGAUUUAACAGUCGACGAUAUCCGAGGUAAGUCUAAUAGCAAUUUAAAUGUUAUUAAAUUGGAAUUUAUAUAAAUAUAUCUAUCAUACAUUUAGUAAGUUGGGAACUAAAAGUAUAUAAAUUGAAUAAAACUUGGUGAUUUUUCUAUGUGAUAGCCGAACAUAGAAAUUGAUUUUGGGAGGUUGAUAUUAAUGGUAUAAAUUACAUGUAUAUUAGCUAAAGUACGCUUUAAGUUCAAUGAUAUGAAACUAAUAGUAGAAUUUACAUGGAUAUGUAGUUCGAAUGUAAGAUUUAAUUUCUUGAGUUCAAUUUAAAGUUAUGAAUUAUAUAUAUAAAGUUUGAAUGUAUGAUACAAGUUCUUUGAGCUGAACUUAAUAUUAUGAAUUAUAUAUAUAUAUAUAUAUAUGCACAUAUGGUUCGAAUAUAUAUAUUUAAAGUUCUUGAGUUGCAUUUAAUGUAUGAAUUUUAUAUACAUAUGUGGUUCAAAUAUAGGUUACAAAGUUCUUGAGCUGAAUUUAAUGUAUGAAUUUUACAUACAUAUGUGGUUCGAGUAUAGGUUACAAAUUCUUUGAGUUGAAUUUUAAUGUUGUAAAUUAUACAUAUGUGGUUCGAAUGUUUGUUUGCUAUGAAGAAUUGAAUAUAAUUCAAUUUUUACUGAGAUACGAUUAUUGAGUAAGACUUAUGUAAACAUAAAGAAUUAUACGAAAGAUCAUCUUUGUAUCUGAGAUUUUCAGGCUUAAUGCCUAGCAGGCUUAAUGCCUAGCAGGCUUGAUGCCGGUGAAUUAAUUCAGACUUUAUGUCUAGCAGGCUUUGUGCCGGUGAAAUGUAUCGGGCUUUGUGCCUAGCAGGCUUUAUGCCGGUGUUUUAUACAAGGCACUAUGUUUUAUAAAUUUUAUGUGAGCAAUAGUAAAAGCAAAUAAAUGUGUGAAGAAAGCUAAAUUAUUCAGGUAUGUGUUAGCCAUUUGCUUAAUUGGUGAUAAGGUAAGUUGAUUGUUUUAAUUUGAUAAUAGUUUCAAAUGAAAUAUAGAGUAUGAGUUAACCAGUUGAGUAUAAGCAUGUUUUAGCAUAAUGAUUUAUUGAAUAUUCGGCUUUGCUAAAUAUUUAUGUGUAUUUGGCCAUAUGGUUUGUUUAUAUGAAAAUACAAUGUGAUUUUUAUUAAAGUGUUAUAUGGUACAAAAUAUUAAGAUAUUUGGUUUAUUUUAACUUAAUGAUGGAAUAAGUAUUAAUAUAUAUAUAUAUGAAUNNNNNNNNNNNNNNNNNNNNNNNNNNNNNNNNNNNNNNNNNNNNNNNNNNNNNNNNNNNNNNNNNNNNNNNNNNNNNNNNNNNNNNNNNNNNNNNNNNNNUUCGUUUUAUAGAUUUUGGAAGUUGGUUACGAGCUCGGGGAUCGUCAGAGAAGAUUAUCACACUAUCGACUCCUCUCGGUAUUUUUGUAAAUUUUGAAUUCGAUCUUAUGGCAUGUAUAGCGUAGCUGAAAUGCUUGAAUUUAGAUUAUGUAAUAUUAAGCCAUGUGAAAAUGGCUUAAUUUUCUUGUUUGUGUUCGGUUUUGGGUUGAAUUAUGGUUUAAGCAUACUUUAAUCAUGGAUUAGUAUUUUAUGGUUAGUAUUUAUAUGGUAAUGUGUAUAUAUACGUGCAUGGUGAUUUCAUUCAAGUGUUUCGGUAAUUAUGUGGUUGAAGUAAGUAACUUUGUUAUAUUCAUUAAGAUAAGUAAUGUUAAGUUAAGUGUCUAGGUUAUGUAUUAUAUAUGAAAUAUAUAUGAUUUGGUUGGAUUUAGUAGUUAAGUGAAUAUAGGAGAUGAUUUAUAAAUUGAAGUAUACUUGUAAAUGUUGGUGAUUAAUUACGUUUGACUUAUUAAUAGAGAAAAUGAAUGUAUAUAUAUAUUCAAAUGUGUACUGAUUAGGAUUUAUGGCUUAGUAUAUAUAUAAUGGAUUAAUUUAAUUAUAAAAAAAAAAUUUCUGAGUCGUGUUUUGAUCGGUAAUGCCUCGUAACUCUAAUCCGGCGACGGACACGGGUCGGGGUGUUACAAUGGUACCAUGGUCUCAUAUGCAUACUUGAUUAAACCAUGUAUACCCGCCUAGCACUUCGCCACCUUGACUUUGGACAUGCAUUACAAUGCAUAAAAUCAAUUUUCUUUAUUUUAAUUUUUUAUGAAAAUUUAAUAAUUUUUAAAUAUGUAUAAAGAAAAUAAUACUUUUUAUCUUUUUUUUUAUUGUAUGACUAUUUUUAACGAAUUAUCCUUUUUUAAAUAAACUUAACGAUUUGACUAACUAUUGAGUUAACAAAAGUAUCAGCGUGGAAAAAAACAGUUUAGAUGCUACUUAUGAUUAGAAAAAUGUUUAGGCACCAAAAGUAGAAAAUGACAUAGUUUAGGUAUCAAUUUAUUAGUUAAGACUCUUUUUAGAAAUAGACUUAUCAAUUUAGCUAACGGUUUGACUAACGAAAAUACCGAUUUGAAAAAAAAAGUAAUUUAUUUAGGUAUCAAAAUGUAAGAAGGGUAUAACUUAGGUAACAAUUCAAGGUUAAACUUUGUUUCCAAUGCAAGUUCAAAUUUGGUGCAUUCUGAAAUUCGAAACUUAUCAACUCUUUCCCCCUCAUUGUGCGUCUUUUAUUAAGGUAGCCUAAUGCUUUAUUUGUUUGCAUGUGUGACUUGUGACAACGUUUGAGACGAAUUCCCUACCUUGCGAGCCUCCGUUUGUUGCGUAACUCCAUAGCACAUGCAUCUUGUUUCAGUAUCGGAAAUAUCUCAUGUAUCAGAAGUGGAAUUUUAACAUGUGUCAUAUUUUAGAUUUGGAUCACCGAGAUAAUUUAUUUAUUUGUUGUGGAGAAUCAAAAAGAAGCAUCAAGACAUUUAAUAUAUAAGUUUGGAGCAUCAUAUCUAUUUAGGGGUGAGUAGAACUCGACUUGAAUUGACAAGUUGAUUUCUCGUUCAAAUUUCGAGUUAAUUGAAUUUAGUUUUCAAUUUCCCUAAUCAACUCAAAUAAGUAAAUUGGGUUUUUGAGUUCAAGUUGAGUUGAAAUUUACAAUUUGAUUAACUCAAAUAAUUAGUAUAAAAAAUUGUUGUAAUUGCCCAAUAGGUUGUUGUCAAUUUCGUACAACUAAAUUACUUUGGUUUUCUCUUCUUCUUUUUUUUUUAAAGAGUUUUCAAGUAUUAAGGUCUCAAAUUUAUUUGCUAUAACGUGGAAUUUGGUCAUUUUGUCAAUAAGUUCUUAAUUUGGCCUUUUAAAAAGAACUCAAACAUAUUUAGUCAAUUUGACUCGACUCGACUUGAGUUUCAUUUCAACUGACUUGAUUCGAAAAAAUUCAAAUCAGCUAGGAUGAUAAAUUAGAGAGAGAGAGAGAGAGAGAGAGAGAGAGAGAGAGAGAGAGAGAGAGAUGCAUGGGUGUUUGGAUCUAGUGCCCUUAGUGUAGUAUUUUCAUCUAUAUGUAUUUUUUGAACAAAUUGAUUUAAUAGAAUAUUCAUCAAUUUCAUUAAUAUCUUCAAUAUCUUGUCCUCAUAAAUGAUUUUUGUACGUCAAGCAAAAUUAAAAAAAAUACUGACUCAUUGAUUACCUAACAUUUAAUUGAUACUAAGCAAUAUUACAUGGUCGGAUCAUAAUACAAAAAUAAACAUUAUUUUUAUUCUACUAGUUCAACCAGAAUUUUUCCAUCUCUCCCUAUAUAUAGAUGGCACUGGUAGGGCUUUAAUCAUACCAACACAACAACAACAACAACAAUAGCAACAACAACAAAAAACACGCACACACAAGUUUAACAUAAGUUUUCAAUAUUGUUAUUCUGCAAUAGAGUAGUGGUAAUUUAUUUUUUAUCUGUCUAAGUUGAUAUGUCAAAUUAGGCUCCCCAUUACACUUAACAAGCUUGCUUUCGAGCAAUUUAGAGGUCUUUAUCGUAUUUUUAAUUAGUUUUAGUUCUUGGCACUAAUAAGUGAAUUAGUGUGCGUUUUAUGCUAUUUUGAGAACUGAGAUGGCAAAUUGGCAUCUAGGGCAUUUGACAAGUUUGGUGAGUGAUGCAGAGAGUCCACGGUGACCCGAAUAGAGCGAAUAAAUCAUCGAGAAGGCGAUAUCGUGAUAUCAAAGAAUGAAAGUCCUGAUACCCCUAACAGUGUUGAAAACAAGGAAGAUUGAGUCACCAAUUGUGGUAUCGCAAUACCCAAAACUUUUAAGGACCCCCAUUUCAAGACUGUUGUAGAUAUCACGAUACCAGGCUCUAGGUAUCGUGAUAUCAGUAUCGAUACCAGGCUCUGGGUCGUGAUAUCACUAUCGAAGUGAGACAAAAAUUGACCACAAGGGUAGUCAUUGUCCAACAUGUCCCUCAACCAAAAUCAGUAUGACACCCCAAAAUUAGUAUUUAUGGUUUGUUAGAUUUUAUCAUUAGUAAGUAUCUGUUUCAGUGAUUAAGGGCUUUAAUUAUGUGUUUAGGGCCUUGGGUUCAAAUCUCAAAAUUCAAUUAUUUUUAUUUCUAGGCUGAUCUUUGUUCGUUGGGCUUAAAUGUUGUUUUCAGUUGACUCAUGUUAGAAUAAGCUUAUUGGUUUGGGUGGUAAAAUGUUUGCUAGUUUAUUUUGUGGUCUUGUGUUCGAUUCUUUGUGUGAGUGAGUUGGUAGUAUUUUUUGGUAUUUUUGAUUGGGUUGAUCAUUUAAUUGUUGUGGUCUAAUUGAACUCUAUCUGUAGGAAAGAAAAAUUUGAUUUGUUAAAAAAAAUUUGAAUUGGUUUUAAAUGGGUUUUGUUUUAAAAUAGAUAAAAUAGGUUGUUUUUAUCUUGUUACUUUUGAAAUCAAUUUCAUUUUGGUUGUUUUUAUCUUGUUACUUUUGAAAUAAAUUUCAUUUUGUUUCAUUUUUUUUUUGAAAACAAAACCCACUUUCCCUACUUCUAAUUUUCCCCCAAACCUAUGCCGCCAAUACCAAAUUUUGUUAUUUGAUUUUAUUCUUCUUCAUUUCUUUUGUUUCUUGCUUGAAUUUCCUUUAAUCUUUUGGGUUGUCUUUGUGUUCGAAUCGUGGAUUCUACUCUAUUCUCCAUUGACGAUCUUGCUUCCUAUUUGUUCUUACUUUUGAGUUCGUCAAGUAAAUUGUUGUGCUUUAUUUAGUAAGUUCAGAUUUUGGGAGUUCUGUUUCAAAUCUUGAUGUAGAAAUUUUAUUUUUAUAGGGAUAGUGAUUGUAGUUCAAUUAGAGUUUUGUUGAGACUUGAUUAAUUUAGUAGGGUUUUCAAUGUUAGGUGAUAAUUCUGAAAUGCCCAGCCUUCCUUCAGCAUUGUAAUUUCGUAAGGUUGUUGCUUGUUUAACAGUAAGAGUAUGGAGGUGUUUUGGUGUAUUGGAAGAGUUCAAUUCUUGGUUAUUUCAUGUCUCAGGAGUUUUAUGUCGUAUUAUAUGUCGUAUUUAGGUCUCAGGAGUUUUAUGGUUGCAUUCUUGUCGAAUUCGAACCAGAUGUAUAAUGAGAAACUCGAAAAUCAGUGAUCGACGAAAGCCGAAAAGGCAUUCUGUUGACGCCAUACGACUGUGUGGUAGGCCGUGUGUGACACACGACCAUGUGACAGGUUGUGUGUUGGAGCAUGAGUGACACACGGUCUGGGCCAUUUGGGUCGUGUGGAUCACACGGGCGUGUGUGAGGUCGUGUGGGCCACACAAGCUGGCUAUUUGGGUCAUGUAGGACACAAGGGCGAGUGUGGGCCAAAAAUAUAAAAUUUUCCUUAGGGCCGUGCACAAGAUCCGAUCGAAUAAGGGCCUUUUGUAUGGUUGGUAUGUGAGUAAAUGCACUAAAAAACAUGAAAUCUGGACAUCUAUUUGUAUAGUAUCUACUAUCUGCAAGAGUAACUAAGAUGUCGAAUGAUAAAUAAACCCUAAAGUUUAUGUUAAGUAUAUAAUUUGUAUCUGAUAUGUUGUGCAUGUAAAACUAUAGCAUGUAUAAUUUCUGCUCUGGACUUGUAUGAUAUUUAGUAUAUUCUGUAUCUGUAUCUGGGUUGGGUUGUAAAUAACACUUGGAGGAAGUGAUUUUGCAAAAAAUCUAUAAAUCACCUAUUGGUCCGACAGCUCAGCUACAACUAUUCUGUAAAGUGUCAUAUUAACACUAAGUGGUGUGUAGGGAUGGAUGGUGUUUUAUACCCAUAUGGUGUGUUGGGAUGGUCAAAGAUGGUGUGUAGCGGUUGGGGGUAGGAUUAUAUGUCAUAUUUGUUCUGUUCCAUUAUAAAUAUGUUGAUGAUAAAUCCAUCUAAUAUACAUCUAACUGCUUGAAGUAUUCGAUAUAUGCUGAGUUUCAAAAACUCACUUUUUGUUUGACUGAUAUUUUCAUGUAAACCUCAGGCUUAGGUGGAUCGGUGCAAGUGAGAGCUCAAUUAAUGUCAUAAUCUAUUUAAAUUGAUUUAUUUAAGUUUUGGUAUUUUGAUUUUGUAAAUUUUUGGACUUUGUGGACUUUUUGGAUUGUUUAGUUUAUUUUUUAAAACUUAUUCCCGUAUUUUUCUUGAUACUACUUAAAUGAUUUAGUCGACAAAAUUUGCAUUCCUACCAAAAUAAAGGGCUUUUAAACAACAAACUGUGUUUAUCAAAUAUCCCUUUUUAAGGAGUCUUUCGUUGCGAAAUUUAUAAAUUUUAGAAAAAUAUAAGCAAAACAACAUUUUUAGUAAAUAGAACAAUAAUAAAUGAUUUUGUAUAAAAUUGAGAUUUUGAAAGUUUAUGAAAACUUUUCAUUUAUUCAAAAACCAAGUUUUAAAUCAUAUUAAGUAGCAACUCUAGAUUUGGCCAUAACGUCUAGGGCGGGUUUGGAGUUUUACAAUUAGACGAUCAAGGGGAAAUUGGUCACUAUUUUUGGGUUUGUAAACUACUAGAAUAGGCCAAGAUUGGUUGAGAAAAACGGCACACUUCAUAUUGGCUAGUUUUUACAUUUUUCUCUUUAUCUUUCUCUUCUUCUCCAUAACUAUUGAGUCUAGUUUUCAUUUUUCUCUAAUUUUCCUUUGCAAUUUACUAGUUAGUUAAGUUAGUUAUUACUGUAGCUAAGAUUUAUUUAUUUGUUUAGCACUUUAAACUCUUUUGUAUUUGCACUUUAAUUCUUUAGUUUAAUACCAUUUAGAUUUGUUAUAUUUCAUCUGCUAAAAAUCUUAUAUUAGGUUUUUUUUGUUUAACUUUCUUGUUGUCAUUAUUUUGUUCCUCAAAAUUUUGCCAUUAUUUCUUAAUUAUUUGUUGUUAGUGUGUUUAAAUAUGAGCAUGAGUAGCUAAAUCCUAAGUGGUUGGUUGAUGGAAAUGCUGGGUAGUUGAUUUUUGGGUUCAGGGACUGAAUCAUAAAAUUUGAACUAAAUUGAAUAGACUUCAAAACUUAGGAUUGAUGACCCUAAGGGAAAAUUUAGAUAUGUGAGAUUGAGAGGAGAUCUCAUCGGGCACCAAUUCAAUUGUCUCGAGUCAGUUUGGUGAGGUCAAGAGAUAAACUAGAAUAAUUUGUCUAACUUGGUACAAUUGAGAUUGGGAGGUAAAAUUAAACCAAUUCAAGAGUAUUAAUGAUUUAGAUCCCUAGUUCAAAGGUUAACCAACAACAUGGAAAUCAACUAUGAUUUACAAUUGACACUUGCAUGUUCACCAUGUAGAAAAUUAAUUAGUUACAUAGUUUGCAUGAUUUACAAUUUAGUCAUUUUCUAUUUCUAGAUAACUAAUUAGUUUAAUUCACCACCAAUUAUGUUUUAUCAUAAUAUAAUGCUUAGUGAGUAGUUAGCUAGACUCCUUUAAUGGCAUGUUUGUAGCUUAGGAAUUGCUUAAUUGCCAAUUCCUUUGGGUUCAAUCCUUGGAAUACUUCAGUGUUCCACUAAACAUUAAAAAUAUUACAACUGACCUAUCACGCUUAUAGCUACCCCUUUAUAUUUAAUUUUCUUAAAGUUCAUUCCUCGCUCAGCCACAGUAUUAGCGUACCGGAGAUUGAGGAGCGGUUAAGUAGUUGGCAUUGUAACCAGAGAGACGAUGUUUGUUUAAGCAAUUUUUAGUAUUGUUGCAUGUUUCUAUUGAAAAAAAUUUAGUUUGAAAAUGGUUAUAUUGCACAGCAAAAAUUAAAGUUUUGAAAACUAAAUCGGUUUGUAAUAUAAUUAAAAUUUUGAAAACUGACUCAGUUUGUGAUAUUUAUAGCAAUAAACCCUAACUGAAUUCAUAUUGUUCCCAACUUUCAACUAAAUGAUCUUCUCUGCUAUUCUCAUACCAUGAACUACUUUGAGUGUGAGCUCAAACCAAUUAAAUCAAAACACAGAACUAGAAAAAAAUUUCUUUCCUUUAUUUGGGAUAAAAACGAAAAUUCUCUCUUCUUUAAUAGAAACCGAUGGAAUUAUCUCUAUUUUUUGGCAAAGUAACAAUCUCUCAAAGUUGUAUGUUAUGCUCUACCAGUGUUAUAUAUUUAUAAGAAGAGAAGGUAGAACCCUUGUUCAGUUGUAGUGAUUUAUUUCAAAUAGAAAAACAACUUCCUACUUAGAGUAGGAGUGGGGUGGACAACACACCCUAGUAUUCCUACUAAGGUUCCUGCCCCUUUCAUGUUAUAUGGGGUUUUGAGCCUCUUUCACAUUAGGUCCAAUUACGACUACUUCCUAGCCCUUUUGACCUAGUACUCUGUAAUGUGAUCCAACCCAAUUUGGUUUUUCUAUUUCCCAAAAUAACAUUUAAUAUUCUAUAUUAAACAAUUUUCUCAUCCCUAUUUUACCCCUAGUAAAAUUUUAAUGAUUUUACCCCGAUAAAAUUUUGAGAAAUAUGAUUUAUAUUUCACAACUCAACAUGUUCACUGUGGCCGAAUGGUUUAUUUUCAUUUUCAGGCUUCAAAACAGCUCAAAAACAUAAAAUCAUUUUUUCAAUCAUUUUUAAGUAACUUAUAGAAUUGCAAAUGGAUCAUUUCCAUUUCCAUUUUGGAAACCUAUAUUCAUUUCCAAAUGAUUCCAUUUCUCCAUUUCGAAAAAACCUGUAAUCAUUCUUGAAUAUUUCUCAUUUCUCUUUUUCUAUUCAUUUAAUUCAUUUCUAUUCAAACACAUAAUUCAUUUAUGAUUUCAAUGAGCUAGCAGAGGUGUAGCACUUUAUAUCCAACUCGAAUUACCUGAUAUGGAUUUUGGAUGUUACAAAACUUAAACACUUAGCAAAAAUUUUAGAAUAAUCGUAAAACCAUUCUAAAACAUACUUCUCAUUCCUUAUUAUAUUGUUCCUAAAACAAAAUGAUUAAUAAAAGAUAAUGUUUGAUAAUUACAUCAUAUUUAAAAAAAACAUAUGACGUUACAACUUAAAACUUUGCUAAAGGAAAACUUCUUCAUGGCGUAGAGAAGUAAGCACCAUAUUCCUAUGGUGUCCUUAGUAAGCAUAAUAUCACAACUCAAAUUGCUUGGUCCCUUCUGCUAUACCAAUUCUUUAAUCAAAACUUGCAUCAUAAACAGACGCUUGUAAGUUCAAAUGAACUUAGUUAAUUUUGACCCAAGUUACCUUUGAGCGUUUAUUUUUGCAUUCCUCAGCCUAAAGAUUCUAGAUUUCUUUUCAAUUUUUGACAGAUACUUUUUUAAUAUUGGGCGCAUACAUAAAUGAUAAUUUCCACAUUUGAUCACCAUAUACACAAUUCGCUCAUUAGGCAGAUUAUAGAUUUCACCACCUAGUGUGGAUCUCAUUUCCUUUAUAGAAAAUGAAUGCAUUCCCCAUAAGGAUAUUCAUACAGAAUCUACCUUUGGCAGAUUCUCACAUAGACAGAUGUUGAACACUUCACCUAGAAUGGUGUACUCAUAGAUAUAAUUCUUGGCAGAUACUUAUACUAAUUGAUCUUUUAAAAUGAACUUCAUACGGAUCCUACCUUUGGUGGAUUCUUAUAUUGAUUUUAAUGGUUAUCGUGAUACUACUCAGAUCAUAUCUUAAAUCAUCCCAUACCACAAACUUAUUCUAAUGGAUGAAAUAUUCUAAGUCAUCUCAUGGAAUCCAAGACAACCAUGUCAUAUAUCAUGUAAACGCCCAGGUUUUGCGGACAACUUAGACUUUAGAUAACCUCUAUACAUAUUGUGAAAACACUAAGAUUUGGUGGAUACUAUUGUAUUUAGAUAACUUCCAUGCAUAGUGUAGACAAACUCAGGACAAACACUUAGACCACCCAUAACAAUGAAUACACCAAGUUCUCUAUACUGACGAGCUACUAUGAUAGAUUCACUUUUCAAAAACAUUGCUGGGAACUCUUUUUAGGAAAUGCCCCUAGGGCAUAUUCAAUUUUUGCCACAAGGCUAUCCAAACAGGGGUAUCUUCAAACUUACCCAGGUUUUUAUCAUAGAGCCAACUAGUGGAGAAGUCUCAAAGCUUACUAAGAUAUCGCCAAAAAGGCGAUUAUCCAGAUUUCACCUCCAGGGAAUUACAGAAUACGCCACAAAGGCAUCAUAUAAUUCUUCUUACUGUAUUGGUUUUCCAAAAAUGGUCCUGACCAUGGUCUUUCCAGAUAUCUUCACACUGGCCUAUUCUUGUGUUUACUAUCCACGUGGACUUCAUGUUUCUAGUUUUGACAAACUACAUUCUCACCAUAAUGCCCUUCAUUUCUACUAUCUCGACAGACGUCAUCAAAUACCACCGCGGGGUCUAAUAUCAUAUCAUAUAUUUUCCUAACACUUCACCAAACCUCUAUUCUCUAACUUCUUAGUAUGCGUUGCUCAUUUAACAUGGGACACACUUACUUAAAUUUCAUUCAUACUCCUAAUAGAUUCAUGCUUUCUAAUACUUAAUUUCACAUGCGUGCAUAUCACACAUCAUCUUGUUCAUGUAGCACAUCAUAUACCUCAUUUGUAAACAUGCAGAGGCUUUAGAUACUUUACAUACACAUACACUCAUUAGUUAUCCAAGAAAACAUCAAAAUACGAAUAACCAUUGUAAAUUAACCGUUUCGGUAAAAGCAUUUCCACCAAUAUCACAAUCAUCGGAUGCAAUAAUUUUAGGUGGAAACGAUUGCAAACCAUGACUGUGCAUAUUAAAUGCAUCCCACAACAUACCUUCCAUGUCAUCUUCUCUAACAAACUGAUGGUAAGUAUUAUGAGGAUAAACCGGAUUAAUCGUUGAAGAGGUUCUACGAGGUGUACACUCUCCAUGGAAAAUCCAUUUUUUAUACCCCCGAAUAAAGCCAUCAAUAAUUAGAUGUUUGUAGACAACUUUAGGAAAAUGCCAAUUGAUGUUGCCACACUUCUUACAUGGCCAAAGAAUCAUAUUCUCUCAACUUGCAUUUUGAAAUGCAAAAUUUAGAAAAGUUUGUACUCCAUUUCGAUAGUCGUUACUUAUCCUUGACAAAUCCAUCCAACUCUUAUCCAUUUCGUAGUUCUUGAAGUCUAAAGUUGAUAAUAAAUUAUGGUUACUUAAGUGUUCUAAAUAGAUUUAAAUCAUGUCAUUGUACUGAAAUAGAUAAUAUAUAUCAAGUAUCAAGUAUCUAAUUAUUUAAAAUAUAUAUAUCAGUGACAACAUUUUACGUUUGGAUAAGCCAAAUUCGCUAUAAAAAAUUUAUAAGAAUAAUUAAGAGUAGGGAAAAACAAUAGUGUUGCCCUAAUUUUUGUGAUUUUUAUAUAUUCUGAUCCAAAUUUUUAUGUAAGUUAUGAUAUAAUAUAUUUUUUAUAUUCUCUAAAUGUUAGAAACUGCAUUUUUUAUAUUCUUUAAAUGUUUAUGUAAAUUAAUCGAAAAUUAAUUAAUUAUUCAUAAAAUUAUUAUGAAAUAUAAUUAUUUAUUUAAUUAAUAAAAAAUUAAUUAAUUAUUCAUAAAAUUAUUAUGAAAUAUGAUUAUUUAAUUAAUUAAUCAAAAAUUAAUUAAUUAUUCAUAAAAUUAUUAUGAAAUAUGAUUUUUUAUUUAAUUAUUCAAAAAUUAAUUAAUUAUUCAUAAAAUUAUUAUGAAAUAUGGUUAUUUAUUUAAUUAGUCACAAAUUAAUUAAUUAUUCAUAAAAUUAUUAUGAAAUAUGAUUACUUAUUUAAUUAAUCGAAAACUAAUUAUUCAUACAAUUAUUAUGAAAUAAGAUUAUUUAAUUAAUUAAUUGGAAAUUAAUUAAGUAUUCGUAAAAUUAUUAUGAAAUAUGAUUAUUUAUCUAACUAAUCAAAAAUUAAUUAUUCAUAAAAUUAUUAUGAAAUAUGAUGAUUUAUUUAAUUAAUAAAAAAUUAAUUAAUUAUUCGUAAAAUUAUUAUGAAAUAUGACCCAGCAUUUUGGGUCAACCCACGUGAUCUUAUCAUCUCUACAAGUAACCCACACAAUUAACUUGGUUCAUUAUAUAAUAAGGCGAUGGAUUAUCACUAUCAUUAGGAAUAUUUCAGUUUUAAAUAUAAAACGUGUAUUUAGUUAGUAGAGAAAAAAACUAGAAUUUGGGAAUGCUUGGAUUGAGAUGGGGAAAAUAAUAUAUACAUUUUGGUAAGUUAAAAAGGAAAAUGUGGGAGUGGUUAGUAACUAACCAAACCAAGUGAUGCCUAACUUUGGAUGGAAAUGUCCAACAGGAAACUUGGUCAAGGAUAAGCUAUUUAUGUACAUACAAUAUUGUCAACUAUACUAAUAUUCUACUAUUGGUAGCAGCAUGAAUCAAGAGCGUAGAACAAGCUCAAAGCAGAAAAAAUCAAAGAGACAGAGGCGAAGGCAACAUAAUUGUUAGUAUAAAAUGCAAAGAAAGUAAGUAGUUGUAAAGAAACUAUCAGCACAAAAAAAUAAUACUGCAGCAAGAACUACCUACCUGUGUUUCAGCAAUUGACUUCCUUACAAGUUCUUUCAAUAGAUAGUGCACCUAAAGAUCAAAACACAUGGCAUUCAACUGUCAGAAUAAGAGUCAUAGAAUUUUCACUUUUAGCAAACUUAAAAAGAACCAAUAGAAUUUAACCAAUUCGAAAGUUCAAAAAUUUAUCUACUACACAUAAUCAAAAUUAACCAAUUCAAAAAUAGUAAUAAAUAAGUGUUUCUUUUACAUAAGUGUUACACAUUCUAGUUGGCAACAUGUGCUAGCAGUGCCACCACACCCCCGAAAUCAACUAAACUAAGAACUCUAAAUAUCUUACUCUUGUUUCAGUAUAAACUAAGAAAAAACAUGAGUAGAACUAGAUGAAAAUGGCCAAAUUCAAAUGCAUUCAAUAAACUAAUUAAAAUUGUUGGAUUGUGCGGUAAGGAUUUAGAUUUCUUAAGCAUCAUUUCAAGUUUCAAUCUUGUAAAACAGUGUUGAAAGAAUUUUUUGAAAAGAAAUCUGACCUAAUUCAGUUCCACAUAUAAUAAAAAAUUUUAAGAUAAAAAAAUUCCAAUUAGCUAUAAACGUAUAAGAACUAAAUUCACAACUUACACAGAACUAAUAACAAAAUUUUAACCUACAAACAAUGAUUUCAUUCUCAAUUCACGGCGCUAAAAUAUGAACAAUUCUUAAAUGAAUACAACUGUAAAACAAUUGGCCUUGGUUACAACAUUUUGGUCUUCCCCAAACAUUUCAAGAACCUUGUCUAUAUAUGGUUUUCUAACAGUAAUUAAUUAACAUAAAGUUGUCAAGUUUUUUUUUUUUUUUUUUUUGUAAACACACAAACCGAUCACUAAUUAGAAGCCUAAUUAUGAUGCAAAAAACAUACACCUGCAAGCUCAAGCUAGAAGAAGAGAAAGGGAAGGCUGAAUAUGAGAGAAAACAUACGUUGUUCAAACAAAUCUAGAAGAAGAACAACCUGAAGAGAAAGAAGAGCUACUCUCCAUUGGUGUUGAAGGGACCGUUUUAUGCAAAUCAGUUUCUAAUUACUACCCUAUAGCAGGUAAUGCAGCUUUGAUCAACAUUGAGUAUAUAGUACUAACUUUGGUUCAAUUCUAUUUCACGCUUUUUACUAACAGAAACUUUCUUAUUUAAUAUAUUCCUAUUUUCAUAACCUAUUUCAUAAACAGAAUAACAGAUUGAUAACUGUUGUUAUACACAAAUUCAGCUAACGGUAGGUGAUCCUCCCAACUACCCCUGAAGUCAAUCACAUAGCUCCUAAGCAUAUAUUCUAAAAUCUGAAUAACUCGCUUAGAUUGUUCAUCAGGCUAAGGAUGGUAUGCAAUAUUGAAAUCUAGUCUUGUACCUAAAGCCUCGUACAAUUUCUUCCAGAACCUGGAGGUGAAACAUGGAUCCUUCUUACAAUGUCAGACACGUACAGUUUAGCUAACUUUUGUAGCGAAUAAUCGAUUCUAAUUGCUACACAUAACACUUACUGAAAAAGUUACAAAUUUAAUUUAAUUUAUUACAUUACAAUUUAUAUAUGUAUCAACAUAAAUAAACAUAUAACAUUAAUCAAUUGCUAAUUUAAUAAAAAUAAUCAAUUUUACAUUAAUCAAAAUUUCACGAUUGGUAGUAAUAAAAAUAAAUAAAAUAAGAAGCAGUCAUAUAUAAUAUAAAUUUUAUUAACAAUUUUUUAAUUAUACAUUAAAGUAUAUAUAAAAUAUUAUAAUAUUCAAUAAUAAAAAGCAGCCAGGUACAUAUUUUAGUUCAAUAAAAACAUCAAUGUUAACGGUAAUUAAAAUAAAUAAAAACAAUUAAUAAUUUUAAUAUAAAAGAUAAAAUAGUUUAUUUAAUAAUUGUUAGUUAUAUUUUAGAAGAUAUAUGCCAUAACUAAAUAGACAAGAAGAAUGAAUAAGUUUAUAUUUUAUCAACAAUAAUUUAUUUUGUCAAUGUAAAUAUAAAGAAACUCAAUAUUUAAUUUAAUAAAAUUAAAUGAGCAAUAAAGGAAUUUUACUUUAACAAGGACAUUGACUUUAAAGGUAUUAAAAAUAAUUAUUACUUUAUUCUAAUAAAAAAACAAUGAAUAAUAUAAAUUUAUGAACAAUAAUUUCUUUUGUCAAUUUAAAUAUAAAAAACAACAAAGUCGGGUCUUUAUUUGUCAUCCACUAAGGGUGGGUUUGGAUGGGCGAUAGAGUGCGAUGCAGUGCGUUUAGCCUACUUUUUGUCUCACGCUACAGUGUUGCUACAGUAUCUAAUCUCACCACUACCGCUGUUUUUACACUAACCGCCUGGUAAACGUGCCUUUGCUUUUUCUUCAUCCAAAUUGUUUUUUGCUUUCAAAUCCUCAAAUCUGUGUUUGUGAUCAUUUCCACUAAUUGUUUUCAGUUCACAUUUUCUUGUAUUCUUGUAUUCUGAAAAUCAAACUUUCUUCUUACCUUGAUUUCCACUUCGCAAAAGAAACGGCGCAGAGGAUAGUUUAGUGAACGUAAGUUUUGAGGAACUGCUCCUCAUUAUAUUAUGGGCUCAUGAAACUUCAUAUUCCUUGCUCUAUAUUUUCAUAUUUUUCUUGAAUGCCAUUUAGUUUGUGUUGGUGUUUGCAUUUGAGUGGACCUCCGUUUAUUUAUUGGCCUUCUUAUUUUUCUAUUACGUACACUAAAUAAACUCCUUUUAUCUUUUACAGCUACAAUCUACUAGUUAUUUCUCAGAAGCUCUAUUUACUUUCUGGUAUUUACAGAGAGAAAGAGAGAGGUAAGUUCAAGAGUAAUUUCUAGCUUCUUCAAUAAUAAUAUCUUUGCUUUAUAAGAAUAAUUACAACUUCUUAAUUGGUAGCUUUCAUUCAAUUUUUUACUACUCGAAAUCCACUAGAAAUACUAAUUUUAUUUGUCUUUAUGUUAAUCUUCUCAAGAGAGACUUUGAGAAUUUAAAGAUGAAAGAGUUUGAGACCAUUAAGUAGUACUCAGAUAGAAUCAUGGCCACUUUUGACAAACCAGGCAAAGGAAUACGCAUCACCUUAUCUCCGUUACGUUUUCUGCUAUGGAGAGAUUGUUGAAGAUUUCACCAAUCAACGAAAGGCACUUAAAUUGAGGAAACAUAUGGUGAAAACUCGUGUCGAUGAGGCUAAAAGGCAACUUGAGCACAUCUAUGAGGACGUUGAGGACGACUUAGAAGGGCUGAGAAAUAACUGGAAGAAACCCAAAACUUGUGUUAAACUUUGGCCUACAAUACAACAUGGAACCAGCAGCAAGCUCACAACAAGACCAGCAACAGCAAAGCAGCUUGAAGUGCAGCAUUGGAGCUGAACCGAAUGCAACAGUAGCUUGGUCCAUUUUGUUUCAAUGUAAUUUUGUUUAGUUUACUUGUGACUUAUGCAAGUAAGUUGGUAGGAUUGAUCUUUGAUGUAAUGGUUGAUAUAUCAGCUCAUUUUGUGUGUAAUUUAAGUUAUCAGUUAGUCAUGAAUUAGUGGAGGCAGUUAAGCCAUUAGGUAGCUGUCAAGUUAAACUUGUAACUUAUGUAUUUUUCAAUUUUUGAAUGAAAAUUAGUGUGGUUCUUCAAUUACAUUUUUUGCUGCGGUUCUUUCUUUCUUUUGCUUUGAUUUCAUUGCUUUUGUUUUGUUGUUUUGCUUUUGUUUAAUGCCAAUGUUCCAACAAAUAGUAAUCAAAGACUGUCAUCUUUCAGGGCCUCUGUUGCUGGUUGUGUUUUUAGUAAAAACAAAGCUUGGAGAAAAGAGAAAUCGAAGCCUUUGAACUUGUUUCAGCAGGAUGAGUUUCACACCACCUCUACCACCUGUGUUCGCUAGAGAACUACCACAUUUGGGUACUUAAGAUGAAAACAUACCUUCAGGCGCACGAUCUGGGGAAUGUGAUUGAAAAUGACAUCAAACCACCUUCAUUGAGGACCAAUCCCACCAUUGCUCAGAUGAGGCAACAUAGUGAAGAGUGCUCCAAGAAGCAUAAAGCAAUGUCCUACUUGCAGAAUAAGGUAUCAGAUGUAAUCUUCACCAGGAUAAUGGCCUGUGACUCACCUAAACAGGCAUGAGAGAAGCUAAAGGAGGAGUUCAUGGGGUCAGACAAAACAAGGCAGCAGCAAGUGAUCAAUCUCAAGAGAGACUUUGAGAAUUUAAAGAUGAAAGAGUUUGAGACCAUUAAGUAGUACUCAGAUAGAAUCAUGGCCACUGUCAAUAGAACCAGGCAAAGGAAUACGCAUCACCUUAUCUCCGUUACGUUGACAAAGUCAUCACCACUCUCCCUGAAAAAUUCGAGUAAAAAAUUUCAUCACUUAAGGACUCGAGAGAUUUGUCAGCUAUUUCACUGUCUGAACUAAUAAACUCUUUGUAUGCACUUGAGAAAAGGAGAGCAAAUAGGCAGGAAGAACAUCCUGAAAGGUGUUUUCCAGACAAAAGCCAAUGAAGGCUUAGGUUCAAAUCAGAAAAUGAAGAAGCCUUGGUCCAACAAAAAGGAGAAACCAAGGAGAGAUGCAGGAAAGAGAGUGUUUCCACCAUGCAUUCACUGCAAGAAGACCACACAUUUAGAAAGAUACUGUUGGUAUAGGCCUGACAUUCAAUGCAGAAGCUGUAAACAGUUUGGUCAGGUUAAGAAAGUGUGCAAAAGCAAAGGAAAGGAAGCUGCUCAGCAACAAACUUGAGCUGUUGAGGGCCUACAAGCUCAAGAGGAGCAUGUUUUUAUAGCCUCCUGUUUUGCUAGCACAAACAAAGUCAAAAGUGAUUGGUUAGUGGACAGUGGCUGCUCACAGCACAUGGCAGCUGAUGAGAAGCUGUUUAAAGACCUUGGCAAAACUUUUGCUUCAAAAAUCAGGAUUGGAGAUGGGAACCUAAUUGAAGCCAAAGGAAAAGGCAAUGUGAUGAUCAACACUUGUUCAGGUAACAAGGUCUCUGAUGUGUUUUUUGUGCCUGACAUAGACCAGAACCUGCUUAGUGUUGGUCAGUUAGUGGAAAAAGGAUACACUUUGGUAUUUAGAAAUGGUUCUUGCAUUGUUGAAGACUCACUUGGUCAUGAGUUAGUUACAGUAGCUAUGAUUGAUAGAUGCUUCAUGCUUGAUGUGAGUCAAAUUGAGAUAAAAGCUUACACCAGUCUUGCUGAUAGCAUUGGUCUUUGGCAUAGGAGACUAGGACAUGCCAACUUCAGAUCACUUGAUCGGUUGCACAGGCUGAACUUGGUUGAUGACAUGUCUAAGCUUGAAGUCAGUGAUACUGUUUGUGAAGUUUGUCAGCUUGGUAAGUAAGCUAGAUUUCCUUUUCCAUCAAACAAUGCAUAGAGAGCUCGAGAGAAGCUUGAAAUGGUACAUUCUGAUGUUUGUGGACCAAUGAAGACCCCUUCACUGAAUGGAAGUAAGUACUUUGUGCUGUUUAUAGAUGAUCUAAACCAGAUUUUGUUGGGUUUACUUCUUGAAAUAGAAGUUAGAAGUGUUUGAAGCUUUUGGAAAAUUCAAAGCUUUAGUUGAGAAUCAAGCAGGCUGCAGGAUUAAGGCUUUGAGGACAGAUAAUGACACUGAAUACUUGUCUGAAAGAUUUUAGAAGCUAUGUGAGUAGGCUGGGAUCCAUCAUCAGUUAACUACAGUGUAUACUCCUAAAAAAAAUGGGGUAUGUGAGAGGAAGAACAGGACAGUGAUAAACAUGGCCAGGUGUUUGCUAUUUCAAAGCAAACUUCCAAGUACAUUUUGGGCUGAGGGUGUCAAUACCUCAGUGUAUUUGCUCAACAAGUUGCCAACUCGAGCUGUCAAGGACAAGACUCCUUUUGAAGCAUGGCAUGGACUCAAGCUAGUGGUAUCACACUUAAAAGUGUUUGGUUGUGUCUGUUAUGCCCACAUUCCAGUAGAAAAGAGGACUAAGCUCGAAAAUAGGGUUAUUCUAGGGAUCUUUGUUGGCUAUAGCAGUACUAAAAAGGGCUAUAGGGUGUUUGGUCCCUCAACAAAAAAAAUGGUAAGCAGAGAUGUAAGAUUUGAUGAAGAAAAGGUUUGGAGCUGGAAUGAUGUUGAAACAGGCUUAAUUGAAGAGGAUCAGCUAGACAUUGUUGUUGAACUUGCAGAAGAAUAAUCAAAUGAUGAGGUUGUUGAUGAUACUCCUGUGAGAGGCACCAAAACUAUUGAUGACAUCUACCAAAGAAGUAAUAUGGUAAUAGUUGAACCAUCUGACUUUAAGGAAGCUAUCAAGGACAAGCACUCGACGAAAGCCAUGGAAGUACAGUUGGAGAUGAUUCACAAAAAUAACACUUGGGAAUUGGUGAGCAGACCUGAUCACAAGAAGGUCAUUGGUGUCAAAUGGGUGCUUAGAGACAAGUACAAUGCUGAUGGCUCAUUGAACAAGCACAAAGCAAGACUUGUGGUGAAAGGCUAUAGUCAGCAAUAUGGGAUCGAUUUCAUGGAGACGUUUGCUCCAGUAACAAGGCUGGACAGAAUCAAACUUUUGUUUGCUUUGGCUGCUCAAAAACAAUGGAAGAUUCACCAAUUGGAUGUCAAGUCAGCAUUUUUGAAUGACUUUCUCCAGGAGGAAAUUUUCAUUGAGCAACCUGAUGGAUUUAAAAUUAUAGAAGAAGAAGAUAAGGUUUACAAACUAAGAAAGGCUCUUUAUAGCCUGAAGCAGGCACCAAGGGCCUGGUAUGACAGGGUUGACACUUACCUGUCUAGGCUUGGGUUCGAGAAAAGUGUUAGUGAAGCUACACUUUAUGUGAAGAGGUCAGAAGGUAAGACUUUGCUGAUUGUUUCUCAUUAUGUUGAUGAUUUACUUGUGACUGGAAGUAAAGAUGAAUUAAUUGUUAAAUUUAAAGCUUAAAUGCAAAAGGUGUUUGAAAUGACUGACUUGGGGAUCAUGACUUACUUCCUUGGUAUGGAAGUGCAUCAGUUUGAUCAAGGCAUAUUCAUCAGCCAACAUGCUUUUGCUUUGAAAAUUCUCAAUAAAUUUUGUAUGCAGAACUGCAAAACAGUCAGCACACCUGUGGCUCAAGGGGAGAAGCUGACCAAUAGUGGAGAUCAGGAAAGGGUUGAUGAGAAGUAAUAUCGAAGUUUGGUAGGCUGCCUGCUCUAUUUAACAACAACCAGACCUGAUAUCAUGUUUGGUGUUAGUCUUUUAUCAAGGUUUAUGCAUUGUUGUGAUGUGGUUCAUUUCAAAACAGCAAAAAGGAUCCUUAGAUAUGUUAAAGGAACAUUAGAUUAUGGAGUUAGGUUUGAGAAAGCAAGGGAGCUCAAGCUAGCAGGAUAUUCAGAUAGUGAUUGGGCUGGUUCUGUUGAUGACAUGAAGAGUACCUCUAGUUACUUUUUUACACUUGGAUCAAGUGUAUUUUGCUGGAGUUCAAAGAAGCAACAAACUGUUGCUCAGUCCAUAGCUGAAGCAGAGUACAUUGCAGCUACUGCAGCUGUUAAAUCAAGCCAUUUGGCUUAAGAAGCUCCUACAUGAUCUCAAUGAAGAUCAAGCUGAGCCAACUGAGAUCAGGGUAGACAAUCAAUUUGUAGUUACCAUAGCUAAGAAUCCGAUCUUUCAUGGUAAGACCAAACACUUUAAGAUCAAAUUUCAUUUUGUUCGAGAGGCUGAACAAUCGAAGGAAGUCAGCCUUGUUCAUUGUAGCUCAGAAGAUCAAUUGGCUGAUUUACUGACCAAGCCAUUGGGAGCUACUAGAUUUGAAAUUUUGAGAAGGGCAAUUGGUGUUUGUUGCAUACAGUCCAACAAGGAGUGUUAAACUUUGGCCUGCAAUGCAACAUGGAACCAACAACAAGCUCACAACAAGACUAGCAACAGCAAAGCAGCUUGAAGUGCAGCAUUGAGCUGAACCGAAUGCAAUAGUAGCUUGGUCCAUUUUGUUUCAAUGUAAUUUUGUUUAGUUUACUUGUGACUUAUGCAAGUAAGUUGGGAGGAUUGAUCUUUGAUGUAAUGGCUGAUAUGUUAGCUCAUUUUGUGUGUAAUUUAAGUUAUCAAUUAGUCAUGUAUUAGUGGGGGCAGUUAAGCCAUUAAGUAACUGUACUGUCAAGUUAAACUUGUAACUUAUGUAUUUUUCAAUUUUUGAAUGAAAAUUAGUGUGGUUCUUCAGUUACAUUUUUUGCUGCUGUUCUUUCUUUCUUUUGCUUCGAUUUCAUUGCUUUUGUUUUGCUGUUUUGCUUUUGUUUAAUGCCAAUGUUCCAACAACUUGAAACAUGAAAUAGAUCGCGUCAAGGGUUUCAAAUGGUGAAACUGGCAGAGAACACUUCUAUUAUCUCUAAACUUUUAGAGACUUCUAACUUUGCACAGGUGAGCUAUCAUUCUUCUCUUCAAGGAAUAAAGUUUAUCACACCCACGGAUUGCGUGGGCCCUGCAUCUUCAAAAUCAGCUUUAAUCGGGAUCAUGGAGGCUAUAAAUGAUAACGGUGUCAACAUGAUUGGACUGUACGAAAUGCUAGGAGUCGGGAAAACAACUUUAGCCAAAGAAGUUGGGAAGCAUGCUCGAGAAGAAAAGCUCUAUGAUAAAAUUGUGAUGUUUACUAUGUCCCAAAAUCCAAACAUCAACAAAAUUCAAGAUAAAGUUGCAGAUUUUUUUGGUUUAAAAUUUGAAACAAGUAGCCAAGAAGGAAAAGCAGAAGCGCUUUUCAGGAGUAUGCAAGGCGUGAACAAAAUCCUCGUAAUUGUGGACGACCUCUGGGAAGAAUUCAAUUUGGAGAGUAUCGGAAUUCCAUUCAGUGAUGGACACAAGGGUUGUAAAAUUCUUCUGACUACAUGUCAUCAACAAGUCUGCAUUAAAAUAAGCUGUCAGAAGGUGAUUCAACUUGGCAUCUUAUCCGAAGACGAAGCAUGGGUUUUGUUUCGAGAAAGAGCUGGUUUAGAUGAUUACUGUUCCUCCUCGAAUGAUGUAGCCAAAGAGGUUGAUGGUGAAUGUAAGGGAUUGCCUCCUGUACUUGAUACCGUGGCAAGAGCUUUAAAAGAUGAGAGUUUAGAUGCGUGGAGAGCCUUAAAGCAGAGAUUCAAGGACUCAAGGCAUUUGGUUAAUGAAGAAGUUCUCGGAGAUGUCUUCAAGGGUCUUAAGCUUAGCUACGCUUAUUUGAAGGAAGGCAAUAACCAAAUAACGGAAAAUGACAUCCAAAGUGUUUCUUACUGUGUUCCCUUUUUCCUGAAUAUGAAGAAAUCCGUAUUGACAUCCAAAUUGGAGUAGGAUUGUUCCCUAAUGUUUACUCGAUUGAAGAUAUAUAAAAGUAAAGAAAUUGAUAUGGCACUAAAAAAACUCCAAAAAUCUAGCUUAUUAUUGGAAACUUAUGACGCAAAAACGAUAAGAAUGCAUGGUGUGGUUCGAGAUUUUGCUCAUCGGAUAACAUCAACAGGAGAAAAUAGGUUUAUGGUAAAAGAUGAGGUGAAAGAAUGGCCUCAUCUGGAUGAAAGUUUUGGAUGUUAUACUGCAAUCGCUUUAUGGAAUUGUAGUAGUAACAUAAAAAAUAUUCCCGAUAACUUUGUUUUUAGCGGGGGAGUGGGAUGAUUUACUAGUGGUUUCCGAAACAUUUUUUGGAGAAAUGAAAGCACUCCAAGCUCCAAGUUCUACUACUCAGAAAUGUCAGUUUCUCACCGACGGGAUUCCAUUCCUUACCAAAUCUUAAAACUUUGUGUUGUAUUAAUUGCGAGCUGAAAAACUUCUCAUCAUCAAUGACAAAUAUGAGAAAGCCUUGAGAUUCUUGCAUUGUUUGGCACUAAGAUUUGAUAAGAUAAGUGAAGAAUUAGUGAAAUUGUCUACACUGAAAUUAUUAUAUGUUGAAGUUGAAAAGGAAGAAAAAACCAAUCCCUCCCCACCCCCAAUUUCCUAUCAAGGUAAUAGUGCAUCAGAUUUAAUUUCCUUUUUUUAUCAUAUCCGUAUUUUGUUUGACACCAUUUAUUUUCCAAUCAUUUUCUUUAAUAGGUAAUUUUUAUUUUGGAAUACUAGUUUUAUCACAUGUUCCUUUACCUGGAGAUAUCACAAUAUAUAGUUCAAAUAGUCAACGUAAUAAAUCAACUUAAUAAAUUAAGGCAUAAUGAAAAUUUAGUCCUUAAUGUUUGCAUCAUUUAUUAAUUUAGCCCUUAUUUUUUUAGUUAAAUUUGGUUGUUCACCUUUUAAAAAUAGUCGAAUUUGAACAUUAACCUUUUAAAAAUUAUUGAAUUUUUUUAUAACGAAAAUACUAACUAAAAUGUAAAGUUUCUAUACAUGGAAGCCUGCAUGGUAAUCCAUGUUUACUUAUGCUAUUAAAAAAAAAAGAAUGCAUUUGUUAUAGUUUUUGAUUUUCCUAUUUUUAUUUUUUUGAAUUUUUGUAUAAAUUUUAAAUUAUUUCUUUAGUUGACAUAUAAGAUAUAUAAUGUAAUGUUUGCAUGAAAGUUACAUGUAUUAACAUGUGGAUUGCCAUAUCAAUAACUUUUUUAUUAAUAUUAUUAAAUAAAUAUAAAAUAUUCAAUAAAAAAUUAAUAAAAAUUAAAACUUCAAUUCAAUGUAACUAUAGAAAAUUAAUAUACAAAAUUAAUCAAAGUUUAAUUUAAAUAUAAAAAAUUGUCAAUAUUUAAUUUAAUAAAAGAAAUCAAUUAAUGAAUUUCAGUUUAAUAAGAACUUAAUCUUGUUUAAAUGAAACUUUUCAUUUUUCAAUUUCAAUCAUUGCACCCAAGUUUUUAUUAUAAAUAAUUGAAAUGACAUUUAUAUUAUUUUUUUCCCUGAACUUCUUUAUUUUUUUUCAUUAGAGAUAAAUUAUAUGAUAUUUGCACCCAAUAUUUAACUUUUUUCAAAAGUAUAUGAUUUAAUCAUACCACAUAAAAAAUAAAAAUAUUUUCUUUUAAAUACAAAAUAAUUUACUUACAUGAGUUUUUUUUCUAAACCUCGUAAUUUGUGUUACAUAACUUGACAAUUAAUGUUGCUUCUUUUUAUGAAUAUAAUAAGUUGACUUCAUUGCAAGAAUUAGAUGUGAUCAGCAAAAACAAUAUCAACUUAUUGAAGCCAAAUUCAUUGUCUCGUUUAACUGGCGCUUUCUACUAGUCAAUUUUCUCAAGAAUAUUGUGUGUUCCCUAAACUACAAAGGUACAAUAUAGUUGUAAGUGACCAUUUUAACCAUCGGAGGUUGUUUAGAACAUUGAUAAUUGGAUACUUCUCAUCCUCAUUGAGUGCAUUUAACACUUUAUUUUGCAAUGUGAAGAAAAAGUUGAACUUGAACAAUGUUAGUGGACAAAAGAACAUUGUGUCAAGUAAAAUGGGAGUAAAUGAGUUGACUUCUCUGCAGCUUAAUUAUUGUAAGGAUAUGGAAUUCUUGAUUGAUAUGAUAAGAGAUCAGGAGUCAAUUGUUGCAUUCUCUAAUUUGGUGGAAUUAAAUAUAGAAAGAAUGGUUUCUUUGAAAGGCUGUGCUAUGGUCUUCCUCCGACUAGGUUCUUGCAAAAUCUUAAGCAAGUAAGCAUCAAACAUCGUAAGGAGUUACAAGUGAUAUUUCAAAUGGAUAAACUUUCUGAAAAGGUGAAAUGUCAGACACCAUUGUGCUCAAAUUUAACAAUAUUGGAACUAUAUUCACUGCCAAAAUUGGAAAGCGUAUGGAAAUUAGAGCCAUCACAUCAUGCAAUUGCAAGCCUCACAAGACUAAAGGUUUUAAGAACUGUGCAUUGCAAUAAACUGAAAACAAUCUUCUCACCUUGCUUGGCUCUAAGUAUGCUGCAUCUACAAGAACUCAAUAUAAGGCACUGCGAUGGAUUAGAGAAAGUCAUUGACUUUGGCAAAGAAGAAGAGAUUUUUGAGGUAGAAAUACCGAUUCUCUCCAAUUUUGUUAAUCUUCUUUAUUGUUUUAGCUUUUUGAUAGCAUUCUUUUAUGGAUGAGACAAACUGCAAGAAAACCAAAAACCAAUUUGAAGUGAAGUGCUUUGUUCAGUAUUUAUUGAGUUUAGAUUAGUUUUGAUUUUUAUAUUAUUUAUGUGUAUUCAAUUUGUUGAAAGUGUAGUGAGCACUAAAGAAAUUAACUUUUAUAACACCAAUGCAAAAUAAAACUAUAUUUUCCUCUCAAUUAGUACCUACAACUAAUUAUACACUCACAAUUCACUCUUAAUUUGCUUAUUUCCACUUCCAUGCAUAUAAAGUCACACACCUUUGUUCUGUUUCAUACUCUUUCCUUUUCUUCUCAUCCACACACUCGCUUAUACAUAUUACAAAUACAUGAAACCUGUUUAUAGGCUUAUAAACCACAUCUUGAAUUGUUGUGUCUCUCGUUUUUAUUUAGAUUUUAUUUAUUUAUGGAAAAGCCUUCAAUUUAAUUACAUGUCACUUUUCUUCUACCCUUAAAUUUCUAACUUAUAAAGUUAGUUUCAUAUUGUUGAAAAAUAUGAAACUAACAUAUUUUUUGUGCAAGAGUAGCACCAAAUUGAUAUGAAAAUGAUUUUCAUAUCUAUUAUAUUGACAAUUUAUUGAAUGACUUUAAUGGGUUAUGAUUGAGUUCAUGGUUGAUAUUUAGCUCAUUAUAGAAGAUCAUAUCACUAGGAGAUUAUUUUUUAGAGAUUGGAUUGAUUCAAAAUUAACCAAGACAAUCCCUUAGAUCGUAGAGUUUAAUGAUGUUCAUGUUGGUUCCACUCAAUUGUACACUAUAGUAAAACAUGUCCUGACUAAGUUAUGUUCUUACCAAAAGUUGUAUAAAUGUAGAAUAUCCUGAAAAUAGAAAAUACAGGAGUUGCCAGGUUCGGAAGAUAGGGAAUAAUGAGCUUCUUUUUUAUAACAUGUUCUCUGACUUCAACAUAAGUAAGUGUGGCUUGCAAAUAAUGCACCAGACAAGUGUUAAAAUUGCUUGUUGAUUUUAAUGUAAUUCAUCACAAGGAGUGUUCACAGUUCGGUUAAAAUCAAUUUAACCGAUCGAAUCAAUCUAAUUCGAUUAAUUGGUCAUUGGCUGAAUUUAGUUCGGUUGAAGAUCAGUUAAUGAUUUUUUGAAAUUUCGGUUAUCGGUUAGUUCAACUCGAAAUCGAGUAAUUAAUUGGAUUAACCAAUAUAUAUUAUAUAUAAUAUAUGUAGUGUUUGGUUGUUAACUUUCAAGAUUUAUCUAGUGUUUUUAUUAUCUUAUUUGAAGUUUUCACCUCCAUUUAAAGGUAUUUUUUUAUAUGUUUUAUACAUAUUUGAACCAAAAGACAAAAACAUAUAUGAUAAAGAAUGAGAGGGAUGAAAGCGUAAGCGAAUCAUAAAGUUUGUAAAAGUCGCGGAUUUGACUUAGGGCUCUAGACAUUCAGAAAGAAACUUGGAUUUUGACACAAACCUGAAACGAAAUCGAAUCCAAGUCAGAAAAAAAUUAAAAUAAAUAACUAAAAUAAAAUAAUAAAUCAAAUAUUAGAAUAAUAAGAAGGUGAAUAAAGAAGAUAAAUGGAAAGAUAGAACAUGGUGUGUAGAAGUCCUAAGAAGCCUUGGAAACAUAAAGAAUCCAUAAACCCCUUCAAACGGCUCUAAUUUCCCCUCCAAGAUUGAAAUCUUGGCAAGAAAAAGUUUGCAGAUGAUCCCCACAAGCUAAAAAAAAUGUUAAAACUCUUCUAAAAGAAACUCAAGAGAGAAAUCCUUGAAAAGUAAAAACUCGGAGAGAAUUUAUUAACUCAAAGAGAAAUAGAAUAAUAAUGAAUUGUAUCAAUUAUGUACAAUGCAAAGGCCUAUAUAUAGGCUAGCUAAAUAAAUCUAAAUAAAACUCUUAAGUAUACUAGAACUCUAAUUUAAUCUAAGUAGUUUUAAACUAAAUUUUCUUAUUAAUAUAGAACUCCUAAAUAACUUAAAAUACUUAAUAAUUAUAAAAAAAUUGGAAUAAAAUAAUAAUAAAAUAUAAGAGCUGAUAAAUAAAAUAUUGGGCUCAUAUAUAAUAAAAAUUAAGCCUAAAACUCGAACCCAAUAUGAAAUGUCUAGGCUUAUGAGAUCAAUUAGGGUUCUUGAAGUGAAAUGCAUAAGCUUUUUAAAAUUUUUCACAUGGGCUUGUCAUCAUAGAUUGAGAGUUUAGGCCGACGAAUAGAAUUAGUUCCUUCCAAUUCAUCAUUAUUCUAGAAUUCAUUGUCUUAAAACUUCAACUCUUCUUCUCGAAUUAUUUUCGUGAUAAAUUCUUGAACAAAUAAGUUGAGUUUUGACUUUACCUACUUGGAUUUGAAUCUUGUAAUUGGGCCUUGAGAGAAACUAAGCUCAUCUAUAUUAUGGCAUUUGAAUUGGGCUAAGUUGCUCAUAUCGUUCCCCCUUCCACAAAAGGAUUCAUCCUCGAAGCUACAAUAUCAAAAGGAGAAAGGUCAGUGACAUUAAAAGUGGCACUAACAUCAUACUCACCAGGAAGGUUGAUUUGAUAUGCAUUAUCAUUAAUGUGCUUGAGUACUUGAAAAGGUCCAUCAACAUAUGGGUCCAAUUUCGUUUUGCGUUUAGUUGGAAAUUGCUCUUUUCUCAUGUGGACCCAAACCCAGUCACUGGGUUCAAAGAUAAUUUGCUUGUGCCCCUUGUUAGCUUUGUCGGCAUUUGCUUCGUUUGUUUUGGCGAUUCGUUGUCUUGCUUUCGCAUGCAUGGAUUUCACUAAUUUAGCUUUCUUCUCACUACACCAAAACAGGCUUUUAGCGGCACUUUUAGCGGCGUUUGGAUACAAAACACUGCUAUAGAUCGCGCAUUAGCGGUGCUUCUUGAAAAACGUGGCUAUAGGUCGAGCAUUAGCGGCGCUUUUUGAAAAAUGCCGCAAAAACAUAGAAAAAUAUUUGUUAAAAAUGAAAAAAAUUAAAAUACUAUUAUUUAAAAUAAUUUUAAAGUUUUUUGAGUACAUGACUGAUUUUUUUAAAUUUAUAUAUUAAAUAAUUUCUUAUAUAAUCGUAAAAAAGAUAGUAUUAAUUUUAAAAUAUUGAAUUAAUUAUCAUUAUAGUUUAGGGUUUAAGAUUUAAGAGUUACUAUUCUAAGGUAAUUUAGGGAUUAUGUGUUUAGGGAUUAGGGAUUAUGGAUUAUGGAUUAUGUGGUUUAAGGGUUGGGGUUUAAGGUUUAGGUAGUUACUAUUUCUUAUAUUAGUGAAUACAAUAAUUGGAAAGAAAAUACAUUUUGUAAUAUUUAUUUGCAUUAGAUCUUAAAAGCAAGGUUGAGAAGUGUCCUGUAGGAGUAUAGUAAAAUAUUUAAUAAAACAAUACAUGUCCAUUUUUAAUGUUACUUGUGGAAUAAAAAAGAGAAUCUAUUAGUGUACCAAACACUCACUUAUUUUUUUAAUUUUUAAAAACAAAAAAUAAUAUUUCUAAGAAUGUCAUUAGGUUAAAUUUAAGGUCAAAACAAGAGCGGUGAUACAAGGUCUUCAAAUAGUAUGGGAGAACGAAUAUAGAAAGCUUAUUGCUUCUAGUAGAAUCCAUUUUAACCGAUUUAGCGACCAAUAGCAAAUUGGGCGAGUUAUGCUUAAUACUUAGUUUGCUCAAGCGAGGCUAAAAAGUAAGAUUUCAUCACGUUUCGAGAUCUCAAAAUAAGAUUGUCGAUCAUAUGGCCAAAAUAGCUUCAAGUGGAUUGGGUAACAUACAACUAUUUGGAGACCCUCCAGAUUCAGUAUGAAAUAUACUGAUAGUUGAGCCUAAUAUUGUUUCUUUACGUUGCUAGUACUUUAAAAAUGUAAUCGAUUUGUAUUGUAGUAAUUGCAUUAAAUGAUUUUAAGGUUUAGGGAUUAUGUGUUUAGGGAUUAUGGAUUAUGGAUUAUGGUUUAAGGGUUUGGGUUUAAGGUUUAGGGGUUAGGGGUUAAGGGUUAGAGGUUAGGGGUUUAGGGUUUAUGUUUUAUGAUUCAGGGUUUAAGAGAUAGGAGUUAGGGAUUUAGGGUUUAGAUUAAUUGGUGUUUUUUAAUUUAUAUAUUAAAUAAUAUAUAUGGAGUUUAAGGUUUAAGGGUUAGGGUUUAAGGUUUGUAAGGCUAGAAAGGUAUUAUAUGGAGUUCAAUAAUCGCGCUCGGUGUUGAAUUGGCUGUUGAAAUGUUAAUACUAUAAGUUGAAUGCUUUAAAGUCACAUUAUAUGUGUAUGCCUUUGUAUAUCAUGAUCUAUAUAUGACAGAUUGGGAAGGGAAGGUAAGGGAGUCAGAUUUAAAUAUUAGAUUUAAAAAUUGAUAAAUAAAUAAAUUAAUGUAUCAGAUUGAUAUGGAUAGGAAUUGAAUAUUAUAAAAUCAUGAUUAACACCUCAAUCUUUAAUAGAAAUUUGAUAUGUGAAAGAUUAAUUGCUUACAUUGGAUAAUUCUAACUUAAUAAUUAAUUACAGCCAUUUAAUCAUUUUUUUUCUUAUUAAAAUAUACAAUAUUUAUUUUGAGAGUACUUAAAUUUUUUUUUAAAAUUCAAUUUAUAAAAAAUAAUAAUAAAUGUUUUAUAAAAUCACUUAACUAAUAAAUUUUAACAGAUUUAAAAUGAAAUUAUUUUUAUAAAAAAUAGCAUAGUAAAACGGCGUCGUUUUGUACAAAAUGAAAGCAAAAAGUAAACAAUGGCGGCGUUUUUUAUAAAAAUGCCACAAAAGAUAUUCAAAUUCCCGCUCACUCCCAAAAAAAAAGAAUUUUGGUUACCCGCUCGUUGCUCCCUCUUCUUCUCAUGUACUUAAUUCUUUUUCCCUUUUAAUCUCAAAAUUCCAUGAGUUCCUUUGCCCCAACAUCUCGUAAUACCGUUCAAAUCCCUUAACCUUUUCUUUUCCUCUCCAUGAAUUUUUAUAUAUAUGCAUAUAACAAAUGAUUCAUUGAUUUGGGGUUUUGUUUCUCUCUGAAUCAAGAAAAAAGGGUUUUCCGAUCUAUACCAAAAGACCACAGGGAUUGAUCUAUGGAAUUCCUUUUUCAGCAGUGUAUUUUCUUUUUCCUUUUUCAGUUUUGUUCGAUUUUUUUACUUAUUUUCUUUAUCUCUCCACUAUUUCGAAGCCAGCUUCUCUUUUGUCGAAGCCAUCAGAGCUCAGUAAUUGUUCUCAGCUUCAAGUGAUUCAGCUUCGUUCAAAUCGAUUGAUCGGUAAUGUAACGGCGAAUUUCUUUUGGUUGUCUUAUUUAAAAGAGCUUGAUUUGGGUUCUAACAAGUUAAAUGGUGAAAUCCCAGAAGAAAUCGCCUUUUAGAUGGAAAUCGCCUUAUAAGUAACAUACCAGAUUCAUUUUCAAACAUUUUCAAACAUGUUUAAUCCUCAUCAUCCUAUACAAUAUCAUGCUUGCAAGUUUUUGCUUUCCUUUUUAUUGUUGAUUUACUAUCCUGUUAUCCCUCUGUUGUUCUCCUUGAUGUGGAUAUUUCUUGUGAAGAAGUACUUACAUUUUGCUGUUUAUUCAUGCUUACAGGAUAGGAGCAAAUGGUUUGGAGAACUUGUAAGCACUCCUCUGUCACUCCUAAACCAGUUGUUUAAAUUAUUUUCAUAGCCUACUUUGAUUGCUGUUAUUUGUGGGAAAAUUAGUCUACAUUCUUUAAGCUGAUCUUAAACUGCUUCCUACAUUGUUUCAGCCUUGGGAAGAAAGUUUGCGGGAUGCACACGAGUUUGGAAAACUUGUUCUAUUUUAGAACUUAGAUCUAGCUUACUUUUCAGCAGAAGUGGAGGUAAUAUUUAUUAUGAAUCACAAUUAGGUUGUGUUUGAAUCAUUUUGUAUUUACACGCAUAAAUUUAUGUUUUCUUUCACUUUUCCUCUCCCUACAUGUGUGGUUUGUACCUUUUAUCUUUCUUAUGAAUAAUGCAUGUUUAUGUUGCAGGAUAUAGUUUAGAAUGCCUUCAAUGAAACUUGAAGAGCAAAGAUGGUGCAACAGACUGCAUUGUAUUUUUUUAUUACCUUGUAAUGUGUAUAGUCAUAGGCAAGUUCAACUAGUCAGUCUAUUUCUCAUAUGUAUUAUUUAUUUUAGUUUUGAUUCUAAAUUUUUAGUUUUACUUAAUAUUUACGACAACUUGAGUUCUAACUUUUGGAUUUUAAUUGUGUUAUUAAUUUAUUAUUUUAAAUUCUAAAACUAAAUUCAUUAAUUUUUAUAUUUAGUUUUAAAGUUAAAAUUUUCAUAGAAAAUUUAAUUUAAAUAAUAUUUUUUAUUUAUCCUUGAAAGUAUAUUUAAAGUUCAAAUUUAAAAAAUAAACAUAAUAUAAUAUUUAUCAUAAAAAUAAAUAUUAUUUGAUUAAAAUAAUUUUUUAAAUGUUAUGUUUUUAGUGGCGUUUUUGCGAGAAGCGUCGCUAAAGGUUUGUUCUAUAACGGCGUUUGUGGGAAAAGCACCGCUAAAGGUCCUGAUCUAUAGCGGCAUUUGUGGAAAAAGCGCCGCUAAAGGUCCUGAUCUAUAGCGGCGUUUGUGGAAAAAGCGCUGCUAAAGGUCUUGAUCUAUAGCGGCAUUUGUGGGAAAAACACCGCUAAAGGUCACGGUCUAUAGCGGCGUUUGUGAAAAAAGGGCUGCUAAAGGUCUUGAUCUAUAGCGGCGUUUGUGGGAAAAGCGCCACUAAAGGUCAUGGUCUAUAGCGGCGUUUGUGGGAAAAGCGCCGCUAAAGGUCAUGACUUUUAGCAGCGUUUCUUUCUAAAAAUCUGUUUUAGUGUUGUGUCUCACCAUCUAAACUAGAAAUGUUUUCUAUAGACAAUGGUACAAGAUCAAGUACAGUCAGUGGAUUAAAACCAUAAACAAGUUCAAAUGGGGAAUAGGCAGUUGUAGAGUGAAUAGAUCGGUUAUAUGUAAACUCAACAAAUGGAAAACAUUCCGCAACACCCCAAACUCAGCCUAGACGUUAUGACUGAAUUUGGCGAUGUCACAUGGAAAGGGAUUUGAAGACAAGAUUGUCGAGUUUAAAAACCGUUACAGUAAGUUAGCUUUUAUUUAAUUCAGAAAAAAAACUAGUUGAUUUGCUUUAAAACUUGUCUCUUAGCGGAAGCUUUUGUAACCAAUUAAUUUAGGGAAAACCAUUUCUAUUUACGAAAAACCUUUGGUUUUAGAAAAAAAAUCGUGUUUUGUGGAGUUGCAGUUUUAAAAAAAUCCAUAAAAACAAUAUAAAGUCCCAAAUUUAAAGCCAACCAAUCCAUAGUCCAAAAGAUACAUCAAAAACCCUAAAUAAGUAAUAAAUUCUAUGCAUUAAUGGAAAAUAGUCUAAAAUUUACAUGUGGCCACCGUCAAGUCCUCCGCUGCACCGACCCGUCAAGUCUGGGGAUUACCUGUACAGAUUAAACAGAGAAUGUGUGAAUUUUUGCAAACUCAGUGUGUAAUCCCCAUAGAAAACAUGUAUACAGAUAAUCAAUUGAAUUCAAUUAGAUACAGUCUAGGGCCUGUGCCCAUCACAGAAUCAGAUUGGGCCUUACCCCGUUCAGAUACAAUUUCAAAAAUACAGAAUGGUCUAUAUCAAAUACAGAAUGCAGAUACAGUAAAUCAGGAUCCUACGCACCAGCCUUUACACACCAUCUCCAUCGAACCCUACACACCAUGUGGGGAUUAAAUCAACCCACCCAUCCCUACACACCAUGUUGUACCGAAAUGCGGCACAUAACCAGAAGGUUGCAGCUGAGCUACCAGAUAACAGGCUUAAUAGCCUUUCAGACACUUCCUCCAAAUAUCAUCAACCCACCCCGAUGCAAUGUAAUAUACAAAAUAUGUCAUGCCAUUAUGCAAUUAAUAGUACAUACAUUCAGAUAUCAUAAGUCAUGCUCGGUAUAGAAGUUAGACAGACAGAUCACAUAUAUAGGGGUCUAAGUAAAGCUUAUCGACCCUACAGUAGGUCCACAGUCGACUUGGGUGACCGUGCAACUUUACAAAACUUUUCAGAAGAAUUGGCUCACACGCCCAUGUGGCCCACUCGGCCCAAAUUGGCCUUGGUUGCGUGCUCCAUUUUUAAUGUAACCCGUGCUAGUUAGUUAUUCAUAUAUGUUUUCACUAUUUAGUUAUAUGUUCCUUCAAAGAUAUCUACUUGAGUCAUUGUUACUAAAUUAUUUAUAUAUUGAGCUACAGAAUUCCGAAUUAGGAUCUGCUUGAUGUAUUUGAAACUAGACCCAAAUACCUUUCUACCAUAAAAUUUUCAGAAUUUUUGGUUUAGCCAAUAAGUAAGAUAAAAUCUUCAAACCUACCCCUAUUCUGCUAUCUGACAACUUCGACCAUUCUUUGCUAAAAAUUAAUUAUCUCUUAGAAAAAAAUUUGGAUGAUGUUUAAAUUUAUUUCUAUUGAAAAUAGACUCAAUAAUAAUUUAAAAAGAUAAAUUUUAACCCCUAAUUGUUUUUCUCCAAUUUUUGAUAAUUUUCCAAAGUCAGAAUAGGGGAACCCAAAUUCAUUCUGACCUUGUCUUACAAAGUUUAUUAUACCUCACGAUUUACAAUUUCAUUACUUACACCGUUUCUUCUAUGAGAAACUAGACUCAAUAAGCUUUAAUUCCAUAUUUUUUUCAAUCUCUAAUUUGAUAUUAACAAUUUAUGGCGAUUUUUCAAAAUUAGCCUAUUGCUGCUGUCCAAACAGCAAGCAAUUUCGGCUUUUCACUGAAUCUUAUUCUUUUUUUGCGUUUUGGGUACAGACCUGGUUUUGUUUGAUGCUAAAACAAUCCCCGAGCACUCCAAAGCAUAAAAUCAAGACCUCAACAUCACUUUAAUGGAUUUACAAGUGAAUUGAAAACCAAGAACGAACAGAAACCUAACUUACCACCAACGAUAACCCUUUGUUUAACUAUUGUUAAGACGAGAACACUGAAUUCACCAAUCCGAGCCUCCCUCUACGCCCAAAUCGCAGAGAAAAAAUAUUUUCACUUCAGCCACUAAGAGAUUCGUGAUAGAAACGAAUAGAAACACUUACUGAAACUAAGCAAGCACUAACCGCGUGCCUAAAGGAAGGAAAAUAAAUGGAUUAGGGAAAAAUCAAGAACAAGAAAACUCAGAGAAAGAUGGAAAAACUCAGAGAAUUUUGGCAAGAGGAGAUGGAGAAGAAUAGACAGCAAAAUUUUUUUUCGAAAAGAGAAUCAAAAUUUGGUUAUGGGAAAAAAUAAAAUAAAAUAAAAUCCCGAUAACCUUCAAAAUUCCUUAAUCUUCUCCCCCAAUUCUCACUACACAUCCACUACUCAGAAUCCUCCUAUUACACAACUCUAUUUCGAAAUCAGAGCAAAAAAUAAUAAUAAUACCCUUUCCUACAUAGGGAUUCAAACACAAUACCUCCACCAUAAUAACACACCAUUUAACCACCAAACCAGCAGGCUCAUUCUGAUAUAAUUUACCCAACAAUCAAAUAAAAGCCUACUGAACAAGAGUAAGACCUAAUUCAUUCAAAAUACAAAAUUUGCCCAAGCGAAGGCUUGAACUUGAGACCUCCCAAACACUCCCAAAACACACAACCACUAAAGCUGACAGAUAUUUAUGUCCUAUUUUCACAAUAAUGAAAUUAGAAAUUUUGGGGCAUUAUACAUUCUUCCCAAUUUUUAAGGUUUUUACCCACAACAGCUCGUAGUAAAGCACCUAAGACUCAGUUGACUACCUCAAUUUCUCUAUCGAUUUGAUGUUGACAUGUAGUAGGAUAUAAUAAUUUAGUACCAAGCUUACCCCCACAAUACUUUCCAAAAGUGGCUUAGGAAUGUCUCUGUCAGAUACAAUGGUACGAGGUAUCCCAUGUAGGCACACCACCUCCCAAAAGAAUAAGUUGGCCACAUGUGUAGCGCCAUCCGUUUUGUGACAAGGAAUGUAGUGAGUCAUCUUCGAAAACUUGUCAACAACAACAAAGAUACUAUCUCGACCCUUUUUAGUUCGUAGCAAACUAAGAAUGAAAUCCAUGAAUAAGUCUACCCAUGGUAAAGAAAGAAUCGACAAAGGAGUAUAAAGUCCAUGAGGCAUUACCUUAGAUUUUGCUUGUUUAGAAGUAAUACAAUUAGAACAUACCUUUUCAACGUCUUUUUUCAUGUGCAGCCAAUAAAAAUGUUCAUGAAGAAUAUCUAGUGUCUUGAUGAAACCAAAGUGUCCCAUUAGGCCUCCACUAUGUGCCUCACAAAUUAAUAAUGCUCUCAUGGAACAUUGUGGAACACAUAACCUGUUCAGGUGAAAAAGAAACCCAUUUACAAGAUAAAACUUGUUAAAGGCACCAUUCCUACAAUUAGAAAAAAAAACAUUUGCAAAACCAAUAUCAUUUAAGUAUAAAUCUUUUAUAUGUUCAAACCCUAAGAUUUUAGCAUUUAAUGUAGUUAUCAAAGAAUAUCUACGACAUAAGGCAUCAGCAACUACAUUUUCUCUACUUGUUUUAUACUUAAUUGUAUAUGGAAAUGUCUCUAUGAAUUCUACCUACGAGCGUGUCUUUUGCUCAACUUACCUUCUCACUUUAACCAUUUUAGGGAUUCAUGAUCCGUAUGGAUAACGAACUCAUUUGGCAGUAAGUAAUGUUGCCAAACUUGUUGAGCUCGAACUAAUUUCAGCAACUCCUUAUCAUAAGUUGAGUAGUUUAAUUGCUCCCUAAUCAGUUUUUCACUGGAAUAUGCGAAUGGCCUUUUUCCUUGCAUCAACACGGCACCAAUUCCAAUACCUGAAUCAUCACAUUCAAGUUCAAAAAUAUUAGAAAAAUUAGGUAAUUUAAGAACCAGAGUAGAACAUAACUUCUCCUUUAAAGUUUGGAAAGCCUUUUCCUGAGCUUCUCCCCACUUAAAAAACACAUACUUUUUAAUAAUCUCAAUUAAUAGGGCAGCAAUAGUGGAGAAAUCCUUCCCAAAACUUCUAUAAAAACUUGCUAAACCAUGGAAAAAUCUCACAUCGGUAAUUGAUUUAGGAGUGGGCCACUCCCUAAUUGCCUUUAUUUUGUCCUCAUCGACAUGAAUACCUUGAACACUUACUAUAAAACCUAAAAAGAUUAGUUUAUCACAAUAAAAAGUGCAUUUAUUAAGGUUGGCAAAUAAAUUUUCAGUUCGCAGAAUAUCCAAAACAAAUUUAACUUGAAAAACAUGAUCAUCUAAAGAAAAGAAGUUGAGUAAAUCAGAAUAUCAUCAAAAUAUAUUACCACAAAUUUACCCAAAUAAGGUCUCAAAACAUGGUUCAUCAAGCGCAUGAAAGUACUAGGUGCAUUAGUAAAAUCGAAAGGCAUGACAAGCAUUCAUAUAAACCAAACUUAGUUUUAAUGGUUGUUUUUCAUUCAUCCCCCUCUUUCAUUCGAAUUUGAUUGUAGCCACUUUUUAAAUCAAUUUUUGUAAAGAUACAAGCACCAUAAAGUUCAUCAAACAUAUCAUCAAGCUUUGGAAUACGUUGUCUAUACUUAAUAGUAAUUUGGUUAAUUGGUUGACAAUCGACUCACAUUCUAUACGUACCAUCUUUCUUUGGCACCAAAAUUAUCGGCAUCGUACAAGGACUUAAACUUUCACGAAUGUGACCCUUCGCCGAAAGUUCAUCUACUUGCUUUUGUAACCCCUUCGUCUCCUCGAGAUUGCUUCGAUAAGCUGGUCGAUUUGGAAUUGUUGACACGGGUACUAAGUUAAUUUGAUGCUCAAUACCCCUCAAAGGUGCUUCUUUAAAAAUAUCUUCAUAUUCCUGUAAAAGAGACACAAAAACACUAAGCAAAGAGUUGUGAAUGUUAGUCAAAGAUAAACAAUUUUUCCUAAAUCGGACAAUGAUGCUUAGUGUGUAAGGCUCAUGGCACAUCUUUUCCACUCGCAUAAAAAUUUUGAACCACUCUUUUUUUCUCACAAGAGGAUGCACUCACCAUUGGGUCAUUAAGUUGGCUAUUUUCAUUAGAAACCUUUUUUCUCUCAUCCUUUUUUGAAUUUUGUGUCUUAUUUCCCAUAACCUCCUUACAAAACUUCAUCAUGUCGAUUUGAUUAUUGUGGAUAUCUUUUAGAUUCAAAGAGGUAAAAGUGUACUUCUUCCCAUGGGAAAUAAAAGUAUUGAUUUAAUUUACCAUGUUGAAUAACAUCACGAUCAUAUGCCAUAGUCUACCAAGUAACAAGUGGGCGGCAUGCAUGGGAACGACAUCACACCAAACACCAUUAGUGUAAGUCCCAAGUUUAAAAGUGAUCAAGCACUGUUUUACCACACGGACCUAUGAACCUUCGUUAAGCCAUUGAAGAUGGUAUAAUGUAGGGUUUUUGCUACAUGGAAAAGUAACAGAAUUCACAAUGUAGUUGCUCACAACGUUAGCGCAACUUUCAAUAUCAAUGAUAAAUAAGCAAAGUUUACCUUUAGUUAAGCACCUCGAAUGGAAUAUAUUACUGCUUUGAAGAUCAUGAUCAUCCUUCAAUUGGAUGUUAAGGGUGCGCCUCACAACUAGACAACGGGGAUAAGUUAGUGGUUCCACCAACUCUUCUUCACCAUAAAAUUUACCUCCAUUGUCGACAUCAUCAAUUAAUUCUGGCAUAUCUGGGUCUGUUUUAUCAGAAUCAGAGGUAUAAUCACCAUAUUAUUUGAUCAAAAAAGUCUCGUAUUGGCACAAUCACGGCUAUAGUGUCCAUGCCUUUUGCACUUAAAACAUUCAAUUUCACGAGCUCUUUAUUAUUUUGGUGAAGUAGUAAAAGUAGGCUACUUAGAAGAUGAAGAAGAAAGUUUUGUAGGAGCCCCACUUUUCCACUCAAAAGCUUUAGUCUUAUCAUGUUUUGGUAGCAACUUAUUAGUAGCAAAAGGAUAUUUUUAAUUCUUGAAAGUAGCAUUAGAAUUUGUACUUUUAUAAUAUUGUGAAGUAUUAAAUGGACGAGAUUGACGUUGCUGAAACUGUCGCUCAAUCUCAAUCGUCUUGCAUAUCGUGUCCGCAAGAUCAAUGUAGGUUUGAAGAUAAAAAACAUUGGCUAUCAGAACAUUCAAGCCAUCUAAAAAUUGCGACAUGGUACUCUCCUAAUCUUCUUAGACAUUUGCUCUGUGCAUAAGCAUCUCCAUCUCCUUAAAGUACUCAUCAACAGAUUGAUUACCUUGAAUAAGGCGUUGAAGUCUUCGUUUAAUAUACCUAUAAUAGUGAGGUGAGAUAAAAUGCUUUUGCAUGAUUUGUGUCAACUGUUCCCACGAAUCAACAUCUCGUUCAUGAUUCCUUUGGGAGUUCAACACAAGUUGAGUCCACUAACUCAAUGCAUAAUCCGAAAAUGCCAAUAUAGCUAAUGGAACUUUCUCCUCCUCUGAACACCUAUAACAACGGAACAUGAUCUCCAUUUUAUCCUUCCAAUCACAAUAUGCAUCUGGAUCAUACUUUCCCUGGAAUACCAGUAUUAGAAUGAAUACAAAGUUGUUCAUUGUCCCUAUCAUCAUCACUAUCACGAGCAUAAGAUCAUUGAUUUGAAGAAGUCUCCAAAUGAGCAACAACUUGAGUUAGUAGUUGAAUCUGAUUGGAAAGUUGAUUAAUGUUCUCUUGUAGUUUUGUUCGACACUUAGUCAAAUUGGCCUCGAAUGUAUCACAUACCUCGUUCAAUUGUUGAUGUUGAAAUUUUACCAUCCUCAUAAUGUUCUCCAAUGUAACAUCUUGUUCUUUGUCAUCAAUGGUAUCUCAUCAUGGUUUUUAGGGGUAUGAGUGCCACGAGUCAUAGUGAAAGCCUGGAAAAGCACAACACUUCAAAAGAAAAAAAUUAAGCAAACCUCACCUAUAUGCACCCUAAAAAAAAUUCUCAAUAAGGUAAGAAUUAAUCUUGUGAGUCUUUUAAAAAGUGUCUAUAUCAAUCAAUCAGAAUGUAUUAGAAUCAAACUAUCAAAGCAAAGCUAAUAGCACUAUGAGUCAAAAAUUGGCUUAGACAUCAAAGAAUUAUUUUGCACAGAGGAAAGAAUAUGCAACAUGCUUUAACCUACUUACACAAGAAACAAGAAAGUGUAAGAAUGCAUAAAGGAACAAAUAAAAAGUAAAAACAAAUGAAAACUUAAAGCUAAGAGUCAAUGAAAAUUUCUAAAAGCUAAAAACUUAAAAAAUUGCGAAGCAACUUGACAAACUUCGUUUGGGGUGUUUCCGAUUUCCAAAAAUUACAAAAUUUAAACUGGAGCCUCCUCAAAUAAUGUAGAUCUGAUCUGGAAAGUUUCAACACAAAAUUCAGCCCACAAAAUAUUUUUAAAUUUUUUAUAUUUUUUGAUCACUUUUUGUGGGAAAUAUUUCUUUUAUACUCUAAAAUAGUGUCAAGAAAUAGUAUGUAAAGUUUUAGAUUGCUUGAAAAUCGCUUAUCCACUGAAAAAUACUUUUUUUCCAAAAAUAAUCGGGGUAAAAAAAUUGUUUUGAAGCUAUUUCUAGAAAUCAGUCUAUAAAAAAAAGAACACCUAAAACGCCCAAAUCUAAUACCAAAUGAUAAAGAACGAAAGGGAUGAACGCGAAAGCAGAUCGUAAAGUUUGCCAAAGUCAUGGAUUUGACUUAGGGCUCUAGACGUUCGGAAAGAAACUUGGAUUUUAACACAAACUUGAAAUGAAAUCGAAUCCAAGUCAGAUAAAAAAAUAAAAUAAAUAACUAAAAUAAAAUAAUAAAUCAAAGAUUAGAAUAAUAAGGAGGCGAAUAAAAAAGAUAAAUGGAAAGAUAGAAUGUGGCAUGUAGAAGUCCUAAGAAGCUUUGAAAACAUGAAGAAUUCACAACCCCCUUCAAGCGGCUCUAAUUUCCCCUCCAAGAUAGAAAUAUUGGCAAGAAAAAGUUGCAGAUGAUCCCCACAAGCUAAAAAGAUUAUUAAAACUUUUUUAAAAGAAACUCAAGAGAAAUUCUUUGAAAAGAAAAAACCCAAAGAGAAUUUAUUAAUUUAAAGAGAAAUAGAAUAAUAAUGAAUUGUAUCAAUUGUGUACAAUGCAUAAGCCUAUAUAUAGGCUAGCUAAAUAAAUCUAAAUAAAACUCUUAAGUAUACUAGAACUCUAAUUUAAUCUAAACAAGAAGUAGUUUUAAACUAAACUUUCUUGUUAACAUAAAAUUCUUAAAGAACUUAAAAUACUUAAUAAUUAUAAAAAAUAUGGAAUAAAAUAAUAAAAUAAUAAGAGCUGAUAAAUAAAAUAUUGGACUCGUAUAUAAUAAAAAUUAAGCUUAAAACUCGAACCUAAUAUGAAACGUCUAGGCUUGUGAGACCAAUUGAGGUUCAUGAUGUGAAAUGGCUAAGCUUGUUAGCAUUUUCCACAUGGGCUUGUCAUCAUAGAUUGAGAGUUUAGGCCAACGAACAGAAUUAGUCCCUUCGAAUUCAUCAUUACUCUAGAAUCCAUCGUCUUGAAACUUCAACUCUUCUUCUUGAAUUGUUUUCGUGAUAAAGUCUUGAACAAAUAAGUGUAGUUUUGACUUUAUCUUUUUGGAUUUAGAUCUCGUAAUUGGGCUUUGAGAGAAACUAAGUUCAUCUCUAUUAUGGCCUUUGAAUUGGACUGAGUUGCUCGUAUCAAUAUAAGUUUCGGUAAUUCGGUUAAUGUAUUUGAAAAAAAUUCGAUUCAAAUAACAGUUAAAAAUUUUUACAUUUUAAAUAAUUCGAUUCGAUUAAUCAUUUUACCAUUCCUAUUCACCACUAUUCUCUCGCACAUGCAUUUCCAAAAUAUAGUUUGCUCAUUACUUGUUCAUAGCUUCCUUGCUCAUUACUUGCAAAUGCAAAGAUUGAUCGACGAACAACGUGCCAUAAUUUAAAACAAAUUUAAAAAUCUUUAACAGAUUUUAAUAAUGUAUUUUUAAAAUAAUUAUUUAAAACAUUGUUAAAUAAAUUUAUAAUUUAUAACUAAAAUAUUUACUUUUUCUUUUUGGUCUGAUGAGGAUUAAACAACUAUAAUUUUUAUUCUUAAUUAUAGAAACAAUUAAAUUUCUUCCAAAAAUAAUAAUAAUAAUUAAAAUUAGUGUUAAAAUGGGGGUAGUUGUUUAGCAAUAGAUUUAAAAAUAUUUUAAAACAAAUACUAAAAAUUAAAAAUAAUUUCAAUAAAAUUGAUGGGGACAUUCCAUUUCCCACAUUCAAGUCUUUACAUAUGUUUCAACCCACGUAAUUAUCUCCAUAAAAUAUUUUAUUCCUUAGCAAUUUAAGAAAAAAUAACCAAUGUAACCAAAACUAAAAUACUCAUAGUUUAGUAACUAAUAGUUAAUAGUGUAUGGUAAAAUAAGAAAUAAGAAAUUUAUCCUGAUUUUGUAUUAAAAAAACUCAAAAUUAUUUAUAAAAUAGAAAAUUGUAUAUUAUUCAACAUAGGGAUUUGUUACAAUGUUCUGCUGGUGUCCUCUGGCAUGUUGGCAACACCAGACUAAAAUAUGAUGACUAAAAAUAUUCAAAGACUUGAUAUGUAAAUUUUUCAUUUUGAUUGUCUGUUGAAAAUAAGCUCUAAGGGUAUUGUGUGACAGUGUGGCAGCACAAAAUCUUAAAUAGGGUUAAUUUCUUUGUAAACUCUCAUUGUUUAUUAUUUUGUUUUUACCCCCCUUCAACACCAAAACUACAAAGUUUUCUUACCUAAUAUCAGUUGACAUUGUUGAUAGUAAUUUUCUUUGGCUCAUAUAUAUAUAUAUAUAUAAUAAAAUUUUUCUAAAAUUUUUAUAAUUAUAAUUUUAUAGCUACCGUAAAUUAAAUUGAUAAUAAGAAUAAUUAUAAUGCCAUCUGUAAUGGCAGACAGCAAAGAAAAAGGCUAAAAGAAAAAGUAAUAAAAAUAGGAUUUCUUACUAAUAAUUCUGCCUUUGUGGAUCCUACCACAGACUUCAUAAUAUGCCUGUUUUAAUCUUCACUUUCUUCUUAUUUCUUCUUCACUGCUUUUAAUUUGUUUCUAUGUCCAAGGUCUAUCACAAAUUUUCUUUCAUUUGCUUAAUUCAUCACAUGCUUUUCUUUGCUUUUGAUUAUCUGCUACUGUUAUAGCAGCUAGCUUUGUCAGAUUGUCAAGGAAGUCAACUUCACUGCUUUAUUUUCAGUUCUAAUCUCUCAACACUUUUCAGCCACUAAGUCAGGUAAUAAGAUCUGAAGCAAUUAUUUAUUGCCAACUUCAAUGAUUUUGUUUUGCUGUCCAAGGUCUAUCACAAAAUUUCAAGCAUCCUAUCAAGGUAAUUUUCUUUCAUUUGCUUAAUCCAUCACAUGCUUUUCUUUGCUUGAUUCAUGACUUUGCGAUGAUUGUUUCUGAUUAUCUGCUACUCUUAGCAGCUACCUUUGUAAGACACUGCUUCAUUUUCAGUUCUAUUCUCCCAACACUUUUCAGCCACUAAGUCAGGUAAUAAGAUCUGAAGCUAUGAUUUCCUCUACUGAUUAUCAACAGUUUUGGAUUUUAAGACAAGAUGAACAGCAGACAUAAUCUACUCUCGAUUGACAUUAAUACAGAAAGAGCUACCCAGAAGCAAUAUAAUGUUGAAAUCUCAAACUGUUAACAUUUUAACUCUUAAUCUUCUGUAAUGAACUGUUGCACACUUGAAUCUAGCAUUUUUUAUACAUCGAGAGCUUAAUUCUGGUGACCAGAAUUUCAUCAUGUUUCUGUUUGCCACCCAUCCAUAGCUCCAUCUAAUAAACGCCACUGCUUGAAACUUGCAUUCAUGUUUUCCUUUUCAUGCUUACACUGACAUAUCAAUACUUCAUAAAAUAUCCAAUUCAUUCACAGAUUUUCAUUCUCUGCUACUGUUAUAUAUGAUUGCAUUGCAGGGACAUAGCAAUGGAGUCCGUAGGGCCUGUUGUCGGCAUUGCAAAUUGUCUCGGAACUCCUGUUUGUAAAUAUUUGCAAUAUCACAGAAAGCUGAACGAUUAUGUGAGAAACUUCAAGAGGAUCGGAGAUGAAUUGAAUUGCAAAAUGGAAGAUAUAGAGCUGCAAUUGAAAGCAGAGCUUCUUCGGCCUCUGGGGAAGAUACCGAAGAAGGGAGUUGAAAAUUGGUUGAAAGCUGUGAAAGAGAUGAUUAGGGAAGCACAAGUUGUUGAAAACAAAGUCAGUAACGGGAGAUAUCUCUGUCGUGCUUGCAACGGGAAGCUGGUUGAUGAAAAGACUCGAGAAAUGAAGAAAUUUCUUGAUAACGCUCCUAAUGCCUCUGAAGGUCUUGCCAUGGAUGGUCCAAGUGCUGGGUUGCCACUGCCAACAUCAGAACUAGUUGGAGAAGAAGCUGUCAGAAAUGAGAUUUGGGCAUGUUUGAUGCUGGAGGAGGUGAGCAAGAUUGGGGUUUGGGGGAUGGGCGGUGUGGGUAAAACCACUAUCAUGAAGCACAUCCACAAUGAUCUUUUGAAAGAACAAAGAUUCGAAAGGGUAAUCUGGGUUACCAUAUCAAAGGAGUUCAAUGUAAUGAAGGUACAAGAUAACAUUGCAAGUGCGUUGGAGGCGAAGGAAUAUUUAGACAAAGAAGAGGACAAGCUCAGACGAGCAGCAAUCUUGUCAGAAAUGCUGAAGAACGCAGGAAAGAAUGUUCUAAUCCUAGAUGAUGUGUGGGAUAAAGUCUCCCUAGAGGAAGUUGGGAUCCCUGAGCCGAGUGGUGGCAAUGGCUGCAAGUUGGUAUUGACAACCCGUUCGGAGCAUGUCUGUAAGUAUAUGGGUUGUAAGGUGAUAAAAGUGAGGCCCCUUUCAGAAGAAGAGACAUUGAUACUAUUCUUGAAUAAAGUUGGACCUAACAUAGUUCAAAGUCCAACUAUAAUGCCAACUCUGAAGCUUGUUGUCAAGGAAUGUGCGGGUCUACCUCUUACAAUUAUCGUGGUAGCUGGUACCAUGAAAGGAGAAUAUAACCCUCGUAUUUGGAAAAAUGCACUCAAAGAUUUGAAAGAGAGAAUAGGGAAAGUGGAAGGAGUGGAAGCUGAGGUAAUCGAGCGCUUGAAAUUUAGUUUCGAUCACUUGAAAGAUGAGAAAGUAAAAGAUUGUUUCUUGUAUUGUGCACUAUAUCCUGAAGAUUAUGAAAUUCAUAAGGUUGAACUAAUCGAGUGUUGGAUUGUUGAGAUAUUCAUAGACGAGAUGGACACAAGACAAGAAAUGGAAGAUAAAGGCCUUACUAUUUUGAAAAGGUUGGAAGAUAACUGCUUGUUGGAAAAUAUUACCACUCAAUUUGGUUUACAUGGUAUAAAGAUGCAUGAUGCAGUGAGAGAGAUGGCAUUGUCGAUCACAAGAAUGAAUCCUCGAUAUAUGAUACAAGCAGGUUUGCAAUUAGAAGAGUUACCAGAAAAGGAGCAAUGGAGUCCGGAUAUUGAGAAAGUGUCACUUAUGUAUAACUCCAUAUCAGAAAUUUCCAUAGAUGUGCUACCCACAAAAUGCCAACUGCUCACAACCUUGUUAUUGCAGAACAACCCUAUAAAGAAGAUCCCAUAUUCUUUCUUCACAAACAUGCCUUGUCUUAGUGUUCUCAAUUUGUCCUUCACAAAGAUCGAGAGUUUACCAAAUUCCAUCUCUGAACUAAAGAACCUCACAACAUUGUUACUUCAUAGCUGUCGAGAAUUAAGAGAUCUGCCUUGUCUUUCGAGGCUUCAAGAAUUGAAGGAGUUGGAUCUUCGUUGGACUGAAAUUGAGGAAGUCCCUGAAGGCAUAGAUAUGCUGAUAAAGCUAAGAUAUCUUGAUCUUGAAGUGUUCACUCUGAAAGAGAUACCCGCUGGACUUUUACCAAAACUCGUUCACCUUCAGCACUUGAGUUUUGCUGGGAACAAUGAAAAAAUAAGUCUAAAAGCAGAGGAGUUGGAACCAUUGAAGAAGUUGGAGCUCUUUACUGGGUGUUUCGAAGACAUCAGUGAAUUUACUAAGUUCAUCUCCUCAAUGCAACAAAGUAAGAAAAGUCUCAUCAAGUACCAUUUACGGGUGGGCUCAUAUUUAAUUCCUGCGUGGAGGACUCCUGAAAUAGAUAAAAAAGUGGCAAUUGGAGGAAUCGACAAUUGGGAAGGUGAGUUAAUUAUGCACCCAAUUGAAAUUCAAGAGUUGCAUAUUACUGAGUGCGACUAUUUGAGAAGCUUAGUUGAUGACAAUUCUUCCUUCAAAAAUGCGAUUGACUUGAGGGUUUGUAGGAUUUGGGGGUGUACAGGGAUUGAGUGUGUUGUUUCCCUGUCCUCUUGUUCCUCUUCUUCCGCUCAUCCAUUUCAGAGCCUUGAGGUGUUGGAUCUUCAAUUUCUGCCAAUGUUGAGUGCCUUUAUUAUGAAAGAUGAAGGAAUUGGUUCAGCAACAACAUCAUUGGCUCCGUCUGCCACCUUUUCCCAUCUUAAGGAAAUUACGAUAUACAGCUGCUCAAGUAUGAAGACGUUGCUUCCACAUUGGUUGCUUGCAAACCUCCAAAACCUGGAAGAGAUACAUGUGGGUGCUUGUAGUCAGCUAGUAGAAAUAUUGGGAGCAGCAACAUCAGAAGUUGAAGAAAAAGGGAGUGAUACGUUAAUCAAAUUCCAUCUUCCCAAAUUGAGAGAAUUGAGACUAAGUAAGUUACCAAAUUUGAAGAGCAUUUGCAGCAAAAGUGGAGUGAUGGUUUGCGAUUCUCUCCAACUUAUCCAAGUUGUUGUUGAGUGUGAUAAACUGAAGAGAAUUCCUCCAUUUGUUCCCCUUGUUGGCACUGGGCAGCCAUUUGCAUAUGCUCCACCUUCUCUUACCAUCAGGUCAAGCACAGAAUGGUGGGAAUGGUUGGAGUGGGAUGACCAUCCAAACUUUAAAAAUGUUCUUCGCUUCAACCCCUUUGGAAACUUUUAAGGUAUCAACCAUUUAUAGUUUAGUUUAUAUUUUCUUAUUUUAUAAACCUAAUUUCUCCAUUUUAAUUCAAUUUCAGGUAUAUUUUUGAUAUUGAAGAAGAGAAAGAUAAAAGGGUUGGUGGGAAAGAAGUAGGGGGGAGGAUAGUGCAAAAGAGAGGAGAAAAGGAAUAAUGGAAGGAAGAGGUUAGGCGCAUAAAUAAGAGAUCAAACUGCCUCCACGUUUUAAACAUUGUCCCUCUCUUACCAUUCCUUCUAUUCUCUAUUUCUUCUCUAAUAUAUAUAUACACUUCCGAAAAUAACCUUCUAAAUAUUUACUAUUAAAAUAUUUAUAUUAAUCAAAAUUAUUUAAGUUGGGACAAAACUACUAUCAUAGUUUUAUUACCAAUAAAAGUUAGGAAAGUAUUGUAAAAAGACAUAAUAUUUUUUAAUUUCCAUAAUAUUUAUAAAAGAAAAUAUAAUUGGAUCCAUUCAUAUGUAAACGUAACAUAUUUCUAAAAUUAAAUAAUAUUUUAAAUUAUGAGGACUAAAUGAGAAAAUUAAAAAGGUGAAAUCCCUUUUAAAAUAAAUUAAAAACAUUAAGGGGAUUAUGUUGCAAAUAAACCCCUCCACGUUUCCCAUAUAAAAAACAUUUUCCUUUUUCUUUUAAUUUGUGAUGGAUAAGUUGGAAAAUAAAAAUAAAAAAACUUAGUUUCCUUCUUUUUUUUCUUGCUUCAUUUUGUUGUCCGACUUUUAUUUCGAAGCCAAAGGUUUAAAUUUUGUUAGUUUUAAAUACCGAAAAUAUCAUGGUUCUCAAUAAUUAUAUAGUUUGUAACGCCAGAAAAUUUACAUUUUUAAAAAAGAAAAAGUCAAAACAAGAUAUUUUUGUUGUCGAGAGAGGCAUAGAUAUAGAGAUUCUAGAUAAAAUUUCUAUCUGGCAGCUAAGUUGCAUAUUUAUGAGUGACAUACCGCCGCAUAUUGGUGUGAUUGGAUGGAUGGACUCUUGUAAUUCUAAUUGGUGAUAUUGCUUGAACGGAGAUGGUAUGUGGCAAUUAAGGGUAUGAUAUGAUAAGAUAUGGGACAUGAUUUGAUAUACUAUGAUAAGAUAAGAUAAGAUAUGAAACAUGCUAUAAUAUGAUAUGAAAACCGAUAUGACAUAAGAUAUGCUCCGAUAUGCUCACCAAAGUUCUUUGACUUCUCAAGAAAUCGGCAUACUUAGGACCAAACGAUGUGCAGAAGCUCAAAUUGGGUCUCAGUUAUUUUAGUAUGAUGGUUCAUGUUUUUAAAUUAUUCUAGACUUUCUAGAUUUUUUGGGGGGUUGUAAAUCUGUUUCUGUAUUUUGCUUUAUGUUUUGGUUUGCUUAGUUGAAUUUAGUAAUUAUUACUUAAAACUACAAAGUUUUGUGUUUUGCAAAUAUAGUCAUGAUUUUCAAAAUUUAAUACUUUAAAAUUUUCGCUGCAAAAUAAAGUAAUCAUUUAAGUGUUUUUCUAUAAUAAAAUAAAUAGUUUUAAUGAGUGUUUUCUUAAAAACUGGAAAGUGAUUUGUCAGAAUUAAUAUUGCCAAAACACAUGAUUUCAAAUUCAAUUUCUAGGUUUUUAAAUAAGCUAAUGUAAUUUCUCCAAAUAUGAUCAUAAAGUCUGGGCCGGGUUUGGGAUGUUACAAUUUUAGUCCUUAAUUUUUAUAUUUUGAUCAAAUUGACCCUAAUUUUAUAUAAAAAUUAUAAAAAAAACUCAAAAUCAUUUAUAAAAUAGACAAAUGUAUAUAAAAUUCUAGAAAAGUAAAAUCUUGAAUAUGUUGUUGAAUAACUAAAUUGCAUGAGAAAUAAAGAAAAGUAUCAUUCAAUAGAAUCCAAUAACAAAUUAGAAACAAAACAAAAUAAAAAAGCUUAGUUUCAUGCUCUUAAAGAACAUCUAGGACUGAUAUUACAGAGACUUAUAAAAUCGACCCGGAUGUCAUUCUUUUGUCAAAAGAUUACAAAAUAUACUACAAUUUUUUUUCAAACUCAUUCCAAGUUUUAAUUACAUUUAAAUUAUUUUUCAAAACCCAAAUUGUAAAAACAAAAUGUGUUUCUUCUUCCAUGGUUGAGGUGGGCUUGGACAAGGUUUUUAUGUCACGAGCUGUUUCAACUCGAAUUCAAUUUAAAUAUUAAAAAACUAUUUUUAAAUUUUAAAUUUAAUUGAGAAUAUAAAAUAUUUUUAAUAUUUUAUUAUUUUUUGAACUCUCAAAUGGACUUUUCUGGGUUGACCGAGCUGGGCUAAAAAUGGGUUAAGCUUGAAAAAUUUUAGAUUAUUUUUUAGAGUAUAUCAGGGAGUCUAAUAAUUACAAUUUUUUUAAAAGGUUUUAAUAACACUAGAAAUCUUAUCACACGCAUAUGCGUGUGAAAAUCACGUAUUUAGAACACAUAUUUGUGUUUAAAAAGAACAUACAAUAAAUAAUGAAAAGUAUGAUUCGGAACUAAUUAAUAAUAACACAUGAAAUAUGUAUGGUAUUAAAAUAAAAAUUAGAUUAAAUUGAGAUUAAAACAAAAUUUAAACACAAAAAUAGAUGAAUAUUAAAUGAAUACAAAUGUUUAUCGUUGUUUUGUCUUCAAUACUGAGUUGGUGUCAUGUUCAUUUGUGACGCUAAAUCAAUGACAUUAUUUACAUAUACAAAUAUAUGCAUGGUGUCUCCUAGUUCAAAUAUCAUUAUGGGUAAAUUUUUAUUGAUUUAUAAAAAAAUAUAAAAUGAUGAAAACACCCUCAUUAACGUAUAUCUUACUUUGCAAAUAAAAUAGUAUUUUUGGUAAUUUUCUUAUUGAGUUGGGACCCGAUUGAUGAGUGACACCAACUCAGUAAAAUGCUUAAUACAUAGUAUAGAUAAAACAAUUCAAAACUAAAAUUUUUAAAAGAAUUUAAGGUAAAAUUCAACUAUGGUUAAGUUUUCAUUUUGGUCACUUAAUUAAAAAAUGUUACAAUUUGAUCACUAAUGUUUUCGAAAUUAUUUUCUUUUUGUCACCCGCCUGUUAAGUGGCACUUGUUUCAGUUAAUAUAAUAAUAAUUCUAGUCAUCAAUUUUUAUAUUUUCUGUCAAUUUUACUCUGAUUGUGUAUAAAAAAUUAUUAAAAUUAUUAGAUUUAAUUAUUAGAUUUAAUUUCAAGUUUUAACAUAUGAUUAUGCAUUCUUAAACCCUGUUGUCCCAUACUUUUCGAUUAAUUAUUAGAUUUAAUGAUAAAUUUAGACUUUAACGUUUGAUUAUUUUAUUAAAAUUAUAAGACCUCUAACCCAUGUUUGUCGCCUGAUUGGGGUUACGAGAUAUUACCGGACAUAUAUGAAUUUUUUUUAUAACAUAAACAAAAUGAGACAAAUCAAGUAUACCAAAUUUACAUACUGAAUAAUUAAUUCAAGUACAUAGACUAACCAUUCAAGAAAAAUAAAGUGUACAUUUUACUGAUUCAAUUAAACCAAAGUACACAGUAAUUAUUCAAACAUAUAAAAUUAUUCAACAAAAUAAAUACCUAUUUUAAUGUCAUUAAUAAUUUCAGGCUUUAGCCGAAUAUACCCUAUCCUCUAAUAAGACACAUUACCUGCUCAUUAACAGAAUACACAACCAAACCAUUUUUAUUUUUAUUUUAUAAUCACCAACAUCUUCAAACUAAACAUGUUUCAAAUACACCCUAUUUAUAAAUAUAUUAUUUCCAUACACAUAAUUAUCACUUAUUAAAAUUUUAAUCAAUCUAUGCACAAGUAAUUCAAACGUAAAUAUAGCUUGAACUACAAAUUAUAAGGCUAAUCAUACCACAUUUGGCAGUACAAAUAUAUAUAUAAUAUCCCUUGACUAAUAAGUUUCAAUCCAGUACAUAUAAGUUCAUAAUAAAUUAAGUACAAAGUAAAAUACUCAUCAACUAAUACAUUCAUUACUCAUACUUAAAUUAAUUUGGUUAAAUUAUAUCAAAUUAAUAUAGUACCACCUACUAAACGAACCAUGCAUAUAUAUAUAUAUAUAUAUAAAUGUGUAUAACAAUUUAUGCACUUAACUAUAAAACCUAACACGUGAUCGAACCAUAACCGAAUAUAUAUAUAUAUAUAUAUAUAUAUAUAUAUAUAUAUAAUACCAAAACCAAAUCACAACAUUCAAGUAUGACAAACUCACUAAUACCUAUUCACACUUACAUAUUCCACUUAACAUCAACCAAUAUAUAUAUAUUUAUACAUUCGAUCUUUGAUUUAUCUUAUAACCGAAUCACCCAACACAAAUGCAUAAUAACUACAUACCUAAUAUAAACUUAAACUAUAUCCGAAUAUAAACAAGCAAAAUAUCCAUUUUUACUUAUUUUACCAUAUGCAUCAAUGCCAAACCCAAACAAAAAGGAGAUAAGCCAUUUUCACAUGGCUAUUAGUUACACAUACACAUUAGUUCUAAAAUCAACAUAUUAACUAUGCUAUACAUGCCAUAUACUUAAGAUCAACUUAGUAAAGUACCGAAGGAAACUGUCGAUAGUGUGAUAAGUCUUGCUGACGAUCCCCGAGCUCGUAACCACUUCCAAAAUCUAUAAAACAAAGAAUAAAUAUACACACAGUAAGCUUUAGCAGCUUAGUAAGUCAUAAGCAAAUAUUUUUCACAUUAACAUUAUUAUCAACCAAUUUACCAAGCUACUAAAUAAAAUAUUUAUAUAUACAUUUAGCUUUAUAAAGUCGUAUGAAUAAACACUUAAAUACAUGUAUCUUAUUCAUGUCAUAAAUUAUAAUAGUACUAAUAGACCCAAAUCUCUAAUAAAUACAAACUUACUUACACAUUAUACAUUUAUCAAUUAAUCUUGAAUCAUCAAUUCAAUAUAAACUUACCUUAGCUUCGUUGAACUUUAAAAUUUGUUUCCACACUCGGUCUUUAAUUAACAUUGCCCGUUGAACCGUUCGGAAUUAAAAAGGAUACGUGGAAUAGUCGGAAAGCUCGUACAAUGCCAACGUCCCAGACGUGGUCUUACAUGUAUUCACAAAUCGAUGUCACUAUCCCAGACAGAGUCUUACUCAUAAACACAAAUCAAUGCCAACGUCCCAGACGUGGUCUUACACGAAAACGCAGAUCGGAAAUCCUAUGUCAUGACAUAAGUAUCCUAUCUAUUCCUAGGGUUCGUACAGGGCUUUUGAAUACAGAAACCGGAUCAAAUCGAACUCAAAAAUACAUCUCUCUAAUUCAAUACACAUUCGGCCAAACACAAUAUAUUCAUAAAAAAAAUUCAUUCAUAAUGUGAUAUUUAUAUAUUAUCAAAUUUAACAACCAUUAAAUGCUUAGAGACUUACCUCGGAUGUCGUCGACUAUUAAAUUAGCUACUCGACCACCUUUGUCUUUCCCCGAUCCAAAAUAGAUUUCUUUAAUUCUUGAUUUAAACAUAUUCAAAUUAAGCUUGUUUAAACACCAUUCUAUUCAAUUUAACCUAAAAACACAUAAAUGGGAAAAUUACAAUUUUUCCUCUAACAUUUCACACUUUUUACAAUUUAGUCCUUUUUGCUCAAAACACAAAAUAUGCAAAAUUUAACUACACUCCUUUAGAGCCGAAUAUUCCUAGGGUCUUUACAAGCUCAUACAUUUCAUUUAUUUCAUAUUUUAGCCCCUCAAAAAUUUAUUUUUACAAUUUAACCCUAAUUACUCAAAUUCAUCAAAAAUUCAAAGACAAAACAUGUUAAUCUUUCACAUAUCUUUCAUAUUUCAUCAUCAACUAUCACAAAGCUCAAGCAUUCAUCAAUGGUACAUUUCAAAAUCAUCAACAAUUCACAAAAUUAAAGCAUGGAUUUUGAAGUAUUAGAAGCAACGAUCUCAAAAACGUAAAAAUUAUCGAAAACCAAACAAAAACGAACCUUGAAUUUAAGCUUGAAGAUGGCCGAAACUUAACUAAGCUUUCAUGGCUUUCUUCC
rnacentral:lncRNA from 1 species